rnacentral:lncRNA from 1 species
UUUUUUUUCGUUUCUGAAAGGCACGGCCAUAACUCUCAUUAAAGCACAACUGUGCCUCACGCGGAAGAAAAACCGUGCCUUUCGCGAAAGAAAAAAAAAAAGAAAACGCGUUUUUUUCGCGCAAAUUUUCUUUUGGUCAAAAAGCUAAGGAAGACUGGGGGAAAACCAAAACGUCGAAAAAACCCGGAAAAAAUCGUUUAGAGAGCCGAAAACGCGUGCGGAAAAAUAAAAAAACAAAAUCCGGAGGGAGCGUCCAGAGCGCGACACGUGACGAAUGGCUGAGAGCGCGCCAAGUGGCACUGAUCGUUGCGAGGCUCUCGAAGGAGCGCUUGUUAACUAGUUGCUCUCUCAGUAUUCUUGUGUGUGUCUCUGGGUCGGUUAGCCAAAUGGGCUUGCAUAAAAGACUUUUUUUUUGAAACUAUGAUGAUUUUUAUAGCAAAUUCGGAAACUAUACACCCUAAUGCAAAAAAAUCAAAAGUAUCACCCUGUCGGCCUCCUGUUGGCCGAAGAGGGACUUUUCGGCCAACCGCUGGCCAAAAAGGACUUUUCGGCCAACAGUUGGCCAAAGAGUCCCUCUUCGGCCAACACCGGCUCUACUGUUUUAGAAAAUUCAUAUCAAUUAGGAUUUUUAGUAUUUUAAUUUGAUUCUUUUUGCAUUAGAUUAUAAAUUUUAUGAAGUUUCUGUAGAUAUCAAGUUUGACUAGAUUUGAAAGUUUGAAUUUGAAUUUUUAUGAAUUUGCUCAAAUCACUAGAUUGCCUAUAGGAGUAUUCUUUUUAGAUGGUUCUUUUUGCUACUAGUUCUUUGUGACUUUGUUUAUCAGUAGUAAUUAAUUGGUGAAUUUUAGGAUUAUUUAAAAUUAGGUUUUCAUGAAAACAGUUCCGUUUUAGUGUUUUAUAGGUUUUGUGCUAUUUCUUUUAAUUUUAAUUGCUUUAAAUUGUUUUCUUUAUUUUUUUGACAUAUUCUUUUAGUUUCUGUUAAGUUAUUAGUAGAUAUUUUAUUUGUAGUAUUUUUUUGUAUUUUAUUCUUUUAUCCUCCAUUUUCUUUCCCGUCGUUCUUUCCCUCCAUUUUCUGCCGCUAUUUUCUUUGCCGCCAUUUUCUCCCGCCAUUCUCUCCCACCAUUCUUUGCCUCCAUUUUCUCCUGCCAUUUACUUUCCCGUCAUUUUACUUGCCGCCAUUCUCUCCCUCCAUUUUCUCCCGCCAUUUUAUUUCCUGCCAUUCUCUCCCGCCAUUUUCUUUCCCGCUAUUUUCUUUCCCGCCAUUCUCUCCCGUCAUCUUCUUUCCCGCCAUCUUCACUUCUCAACUUAUAAAACGAGCCUCAUGUUGUCCACGACCGUAGAUAACAUCGUCUGACACGGUUUGUGUCUCCUGCGUCGGUGCUGCUGGUAGAGUGUGAAACACUGUCUGAGAGAAGUCAUAAGUGUUUGCAGCUUCGUCAUCAUCAUCGGAGAGUGUUUCACACUUAUGACUUCUCGCACACAGUGUUUCACACUCCACAUGAAGGCAUCAUAGUCAUCCUCCGUCGAUGCAACACUCCUUAGUGUGGCGGGAGAGAAUGGCGGGAAAGAAAAUGGCGGCAAAGAAGAUGGCGGGAAAGAAAAUGGAGGGAAAAAGAUUGCGGAAAAGUAUUUUUUUUAUGUAUAAAAUGGCAAUGGUUGUACAGGAUUUAUAAGGAACUUUUAAAUAUAAACUCCUAUAAAGCUCAAAACAAGUUUUCUAGUAGGAUAAAAGAAAUAAAAUACAAAAAAUACUACAAAUAAAAUAGCUACUGAUAACUAAACAGAAACAAAAAGAAUAUGUCAAAAAACCUAAAGAAAGCAAUUUAAAGCAAUUAAAAUUAGAAGAAAUGGCAUAAAACCUAUAAAACACUAAAACAGAACUGUUUUCAUAAAAGCCUAAUUUUAAAUAAUUAUAAAAUUCGCCAAUUAAUUACUACUGAUAAACAAAGUCACAAAGAACCAGUAGCAAAAAGAAUCAUCUGAAAAAAAUACUCCUAGCUCAAAUUAUAGGCAAUCUAGUGAUUUGAGCAAAUUCAUGAAAAUUCAAAUUCAAACUUUCAAAUCUAGUCAAACUUGAUAUCUACAGAAACUUCAUAAAAUUUCUAAUCUAAUUCAAAAAGAAUCAAAUUAAAAUACUAAAAAUCCUAAUUGAUAUGAAUUUUCUAAAACAGUAGAGCAGGUGUUGGCCGAAGAGGGACCCUUUUUGGCCAACGGUUGGCCGAAAAGUCUCUCUUCGGCCAACAUGAGGCCGACAGGGUGAUACUUUUGAUUUUUCUGCAUUAGGGAGUAUAGUUUCCGAAUUUGCUAUAAAAACCAUCAUAGUUUCAAAAAAAAACUGCAUAAAAGUCCCAUGAACCACAUAUCUCUUGUUUUCUCUUCUGGAGUAGCGACUCUUUAGGACAAUUGGUCCAAGUUAAAAAUACCUGUGGUUGAGUUCCGAAUUGACAGCACAUCAAAUGGUUGAAACAGAUCGAAAUCACUAGUUUAGGAGUACUCGUUGCAAAGAUCACUCUCCAGGGUGCGACAAGUGGCGCACAUGCAGCGCGCCACUUGUCGCAACCGGGGAGUUUUCCCUUUUUUCGUAGAUCCGUUUAUUCAAAACAUUUUAUCUCUCAAACCGUGCGUCCAAAUCUCAAGCCGUUUUCACCGUUAGAUUCCUCGCGUCGAGAUCUUCAAAACUAGAUCCAAUCUUGAUAGGUUUUGACGAACUUCUUUUCACGAAAAAAACCGGCCGAAAAAACCCGGAUGAAAAAACCGAACCGGGAGCACGGGUUUUUUCCCUUUCCGAAAGAGGCACGCCCGUGCCUCUCACGAAAUCACAACUGUGCCUCUCGCGGAAGCAAAAACCAUGACUCUCGCGGAAGAAAAAAAAAGAGAAAACGCGAAUUUUUUUUCGUUUCCGAGGAGGCACGGCCGUGACUCUCGCGAAAGCAAAACCGUGACUCUCGCGAAAGGAAAAAAACAGAAAACGUGUUUUUUCCUUUUCCGAGAGGCACGGCCGUGACUCUCGCGGAAGCACAACCAUGCCUCUCGCGGAAGCAAAACUGUGACUCUCGCGAAAGGAAAAAAAAAUAGAAAACGCGUUUUUUUCCGUUUCCGAGAGGCACGACCGUGACUCGCGAAAACACAACCGUGCCUUUCACGGAAGCAAAACCGUGACUCUCGUGAAAGGAAAAAACAGAAAACAUGUUUUUUUUCCGUUUCCGAGAGGCACGGCUGUGACUCUCGCGAAAGCAAAACCGUGACUCUUUUGAAAGGGAAAAAAGGAAAAUGUGUUUUUUCGCGCAAUUUUUUUGGGGUAAAAAAGCUAAGAAAGACCGAUGGAAAACCAAAACGUCAAAAGAACCCGGAAAAAACCAGUUUAAAUAGCCGAAAACGCGUGCGGAAAAAUAAAAUAAAAACAAAAUCCGGAGGGAGCGCCCAUAGCGCGACACGCGGCAAAUGGUUGAGAGCGCGCCAAGUGACGCUGAUCGUUGCGAGGCUCCCGAAGGAGCGCUCGUUAACUAGUGGCUCCCGAAACAGACUAGGUAACUAGUUAAAAACUAUCAACGUGACAUCAGCGCCACUGUAGCACUUUAAACGCGUCGCGGCCAACAUUGCUUUUUCACAUGCCCAAAAACGGGCGCCCAAAAAAACAUGUAGUGCAAAUUAUGGAGCACGCGCGGUCCGGUACCCAACAUUUGCAGCGUACGGUGGCGCUUUUAAGCGCGUGCGUUAAAUUCUUUUGCGCGCGCACUAUUUUGCAGCAUCUGUUGGAGCGUCCCCGGCAUUCAAAAAGAACGGUUUUUAACGCGUGGAGUAGUUUUUGGGCGCCUAUUGGAGAUGCUCUAAGUGAUUGUUUUUUUUUGAGAUGACUCUAAGUGAUUGGUGUUCUUGUGUAUAUCCCCAUGUGGGUUAGCCAAAUGGGCUUGCAUAAAAAGCCCAGGAACCACAGAUCUUUUUCUUUUUCUGAUGUAGUUGCCCUCUAGGACAAUUGGCCCAACUAAAAAAAGAACCAGCGGUUGGAGGUCCGAAUUGACAGCAUAUCCAACGGCUCAGAUAGGCGAAGUCACUAGAGAGGGACAGUCUGUCAACGUGACUGGGCUUGGAUUAGCUUCAGUUUUACUGUCUAAAAAAAAUGAAGGAUGAUUAUUUAUAGCAUCUCCAAUAGUGGUUCAAAUUUUGCCGGUCCGAAAUCGGAGAUGUAAAAUUUGAACCGCCAAAAAGUGCAUUUUGGAGCUCCAAAAAACGCUCAACUCCAACAAUGGUCCAAAUUGAUGGUCCAAAAGAGCAACUCCAAUAGAUGGUCCAAACCAAAGAUGUAAAAAUCUGAAAACGGCCGCGCGGCUGCUACCAGCCACUGUUCAGCCGCGGUUUUGCAUUAAAAUAGCAUCAAAAAAUUGAAAAUAAAGUGCAUCAUCAUCAUAGUUUCAAUCAAAAGUGCAUCACCAUCAUAGUAUCAAAUCCCUCUACUAAAAAAGCAUCGUGUCAAUCAAAGUUUUUCGCCCUAGAAAUUGAAAUGCACAUGAAUAUUACUCAUGCGGGUCAUCAACACCACCGGCGUUGUGAACCGUGGUACAAUCAUCAUCUUCAUCACCUUCUUUGUCGACGUUCUCAACAAGCGGUGAAGUCUCAUUGCCGUGAGCACCACCGGAAGCAUCUUCAUUGCGUCCCAUACCGGUCAUGUUGCCGACGAAGCCAACUCCAACGCCACUCAUGUUGCCGCCAUAGCCACCUCCCAAGCCACCCAUCAUGUUGCCGCCAAAGCCACCUCCCAUGCCGCCAAAGCCACCUUCCAUGUUGCCACCGAAGCCACCUCCCAUGUUUCCGCCGAAUGCACCAUUCAUGGAACCUCAAAUCAUGUUCAUGUAACCACCCAUGGCACCUCCCAUGUCUCCUCCCAUGCCUCCUCCCAUGCCUCCUCCCAUGGCACCUCCCAUGCCUCCUCCCAUGGCACCUCCCAUGCCUCCUCCCAUGCCUCCUCCCAUCAUCAUUUGCCUCAUGAGCAUUUGCUUCUUCAUGAGCAUUUCAUCGCGACAAAGUUCAACAUAUGCCUUUGCCUUGGCAUCAAGAGUUGAUGUGUCCAUAAACAUAAACUUGGGUGUCCUCUCCCCAACCAUCUUCAUCUAGUCGGCCGCGGCCUUCUUCUCCUCUAGGUCCACCUUCCUCUCCUCGGUCGCCGCCCUCUUCUCCUCGGCCGCCGCCCUUCGCCGCUCGGCCUCACUCCUCUCCUCUAUUUCCUUGAGCUUCAAGAUUCUUUUCUCUUCGGCAUACUCUUUCCUCGCCAUGACAAUGGCAUCAAAUCCUUCCUUGAGAUCAUUGUCUCCGGCCCUGGUUCCCUUCGCUUUCUUGUUUCCAUCGGGCCUAUAAGAUUUUGUCGCGGAGUGAGGAGUGGGGCUCGUCUCCUCAAUGGCGACAUCUUCUUCAUCCUCAAGCACCACACUCUUCUUCUUCGACGAUUCAAAAGUCUCUCUAGUUUUCCACUUCUCCUCAUCCUUGAGCUCUUUGUAGCAAUGAUGAAAAGUGAAAGCUUUUCCUUUCCUUUUCUUCUUCUCGCCUUUCAUGUUCCUCUCUCGAAACAAUCCUUGUGCAAUCAUUUUACAAUGAAACAAGCAACACAUCAUCAUCAACAUGUGGAACAAAGAGGAAGUAUUUGAAAAAGCAUGCACGAAGAGGAAAUAUUUACCAAGUCACUAUCACCGCAACCACUUGGGUUCAUGCGAGCAACGUUUGACAAGCAACCGGCCCACUUUUGGCAUUCGGCGUUGAUGGUGGACCAACGUUGGCGUAGAGAGUCGCUUGAACGGAAGUGACCACUUGUGUUGCGCUCAUCGAAGUACUCCUUGAUGCGUUGCCAAUAGGUGUUCACCGUUUGGUCGCUUCCAACGCUUGCAUCUUGAGAGAUUUUCUUCCAAGCAGUGCAUAUCAACACAUCCUCCGCGGUGGUAUAAUUUCCACUUCUUCCCUUGACAACAAAGCCCUCAUCGUCCACAUCAAGAUUGUCAUCAUCAUAUUGGGUUUCAUAUUCUUGUGACGCAUACAUGUAAUCAUCAUUUGCCACAUUUAUCGCGUGCAUGAGAGCUUCAUCAUCAAGACUACAAUUGGACGCACAAACAAUCAAGAACACAUACAAUUUGAAACAACAAACGAGAGCACGACCGAAAAAUUUAUACCUUUGCUACAUUUCGUCGAACAUGUUGGAGGCAAGGUUGAAGUGGGGGAGAGGAAAACGAGAGGCAAAUGGCAAAUAAUGUAAUGCGGGGGGUAAGGGUUUGUGAUGGGUACUUGGUAUGUUGACUUUUGCGUAGACUCCCCGGCAAUGGCGCCAGAAAUCCUUCUUGCUACCUCUUGAGCACUGCGUUGGUUUUCCCUUGAAGAGGAAAGGGUGAUACAGUAAAGUAGCGUAAGUAUUUCCCUCAGUUUUUGAGAACCAAGGUAUCAAUCCAGUAGGAGGCCACGCACGAGUCCCUCGCACCUACACAAACAAAUAAAUCCUCGCAACCAACGCAAUAAAGGGGUUGUCAAUCCCUUCACGGUCACUUACGAGAGUGAGAUCUGAUAGAUAUGAUAAGAUAAUAUUUUUGGUAUUUUUAUGAUAAAGAUGCAAAGUAAAAUAAAAGGCAAUAAAAUAGCCAAGUGUUGAAAGAUUAAUAUGAUGGAAAAUAGACCCCGGGGCCAUAGGUUUCACUAGUGGCUUCUCUCAAGAGCAUAAGUAUUACGGUGGGUGAACAAAUUACUGUUGAGCAAUUGACAGAAUUGAGCAUAGUUAUGAGAAUAUCUAGGUAUGAUCAUGUAUAUAGGCAUCACGUCUGAGACAAGUAGACCGACUCCUACCUGCAUCUACUACUAUUACUCCACACAUCGACCGCUAUCCAGCAUGCAUCUAGAGUAUUAAGUUCAUAAGAACAGAGUAACGCUUUAAGCAAGACGACAUGAUGUAGAGGGAUAAACUCAUGCAAUAUGAUAUAAACCCCAUCUUGUUAUCCUCGAUGGCAACAAUACAAUACAUGCAUUGCUGCCCCUACUGUCACUGGGAAAGGACACCGCAAGAUUGAACCCAAAGCUAAGCACUUCUCCCAUUGCAAGAGAGAUCAAUCUAGUAGGCCAAACCAAACUGAUAAUUCAAAGAGACUUGCAAAGAUAACCAAUCAUACAUAAAAGAAUUCAGAGAAGAUUCAAAUAUUGCUCAUAGAUAAACUUGAUCAUAAACCCACAAUUCAUCGGUCUCAACAAACACACCGCAAAACAAGAUUACAUCGAAUAGAUCUCCACAAGAGAGGGGGAGAACAUUGUAUUGAGAUCCAAAAAGAGAGAAGAAGCCAUCUAGCUAAUAACUAUGGACCCGAAGGUCUGAGGUAAACUACUCACACAUCAUCGGAGAGGCUAUGGUGUUGAUGUAGAAGCCCUCCGUGAUCGAUGCCCCCUCCGGCGGAGCUCCGGAAAAGGCCCCAAGAUGGGAUCUCACGGAUACAGAAGGUUGCGGCGGUGGAAUUAGGUUUUUGGCUCCGUUUCUGGUAGUUUGGGGCUACAUAGGUAUAUAUAGGAGGAAGAAGUACGUCGGUGGAGCAAGAUGGGGCCCACGAGGGUGGAGGGCGCGCCCUGGGGGGAGGCGCGCCCCUACCUCGUGCCCUCCUGGUUGAUGUCUUGACAUAGGGUCGAAGUCCUCUGGAUCACGUUCGUUCCGAAAAUCACGUUCCCGAAGGUUUCAUUCCGUUUGGACUCCGUUUGAUAUUCUUUUUCUGCGAAACUCUGAAAUAGGCAAAAAACAGCAGUUCUGGGCUGGGCCUCCGGUUAAUAGGUUAGUCCCAAAAAUAAUAUAAAAGUGUAUAAUAAAGCCCAUUAAUGUCCAAAACAGAAUAUAAUAUAGCAUGGAACAAUCAAAAAUUAUAGAUACGUUGGAGACGUAUCAAGACCAUCCACUUGCCCUGACCACCGGAUCCGGACAUGGUUGCUUGAGUGGAAAGGAGGUUGGAACUUGGGCGCUGGAGCUCGAGAUUGGGAAGGCAGAGACAGAGAGAAAGCAUGAGAAGAGGAAGGGGGAAUCUUUAUCUCCUUAUAAAGGCAGCCAAUAUUAAACGCCUCCUCACUCGCCUUGAGAUUCGCCUAUUCCCAAGGGCUGUGUAAACGGCACGGUUGGGUUACCCAUGCCCGCAUUGAUGAGAAUCCCGCAAUAAGGGGACACGAUCUCUGCUUCGACAAGACAUGCCAAUAGCAACCACGUCUCGAAACGUGGGAUGGCAGAUGAAAAACGGUUCGAGAUUAUGACCGGACAGACGCAAUGUCGUGUUGUGAAGAGAUGUCAACAGAUUAGAUUUGUGCAAGUAUUAUAUUCUCUCUGCGGUUGUGUGUGGUAUGUGUUACAGGUGCGGAUACAAUCAUAGCGUCCGAAGACUAUCUCGGAGUUCGAAAAAAGGGGAACCCGCCUUGCAAUGCCGAAGACAAUCUGCGUGCCGGACUCCUCGUCAUUGAAGCCAGGUUCAGGGGCUACCGAGGGAGUCCUGGAUUAAGGGGUCCUCGGGCGUCCGGCCUGUUAUCCAUGGGCCGGACUGAUGGGCUGUGAAGACACGAAGGCCGAAGACUAUACCUAUGUCCGGAUUGGACUCUACUUGGCGUGGAAGGCAAGCUAGGCGACCGACUAUGAAGAUUCCCUCUUAUGUAACCGACCUCAUGUAAACCUAGAUCUCUCCGGUGUCUAUAUAAACCGGAGAGCAUAGUCCGGAUAGGACAGAUUCAUUACCAUAUACCGAUAGACUAGACUUCUAGGGUUUAGCCAUUACGAUCUCGUGGUAGAUCAACUCUUGUAACACCCAUAUUCAUCAAGAUCAAUCAAGCAGGAAGUAGGGUAUUACCUCCAUAGAGAGGGCCCGAACCUGGGUAAACAUUGUGUCCCCCGUCUCCUGUUACCAUCGAUCCUAGAUGCACAGUUCGGGACCCCCUACCCGAGAUCCGCCGGUUUUGACACCGACAUUGGUGCUUUCAUUGAGAGUUCCACUGUGCCGUCGACGAAAGGACUCGAUGCCCCCUUCGAUCGUCAGUAAUGACGCCGUCCAGGGAGAAACCUUCCUCCCCGGACAAAUCUUUGUGUUCGGCGGCUUCGUACUGCGGGCUAACUCGCUUGGUCGUCUGGAGCAGAUCGAUAGCUACGCCCCUGGCCACCAGGUCAGAUUUGGAAGCCUAAACUACGUCGCGGAUAUCCGUGGAGACUUGAUCUUCAAUGGAUUCGAGACCGCGACAGUUGCUUCCCUGUGCUCCGAUGAACACGACUUAAAUCUGUUAUCGGACCGCGUCCAGGAGAUGGAUCAUGUUGCUGCAACGGCUUCAGAACCGAAGAAGAUCGUGCCCUCCGAGGCCAUGAAGCCUACGGCGUUGGAGCCGCACACGGACUCGACAUCCUGCAAUGCUUGCGUCAAUGGAACUCCGGACUCGUAUCCGGCCAUACGUUCCGGACCAGAUGUGCCUGCGGACAACGAGCUGGAUCAGUUAUCGAUUUUCAAAUUUAGCACCGCAGACAUCUUCCAGCAUUCGCCUUUGGGUGACGUACUAAACUCUUUGAAGAAAUUGUCCUUGGAGGAAGACUCACAGCCGAACUGUGCUCGGUUCGAGCUAGAGGCGGAUGACGAGGAAUUUUGCUUCCCACCCGCCACCCACUUCAUAGCCACCGUCGAUGACUUAACCGACGUGCUUGACUAUGGCUCCGAAGACAUCGAUGGUAUGGACGACGAUGCCGACAAGGAGCAAGGCCAAGACCCGCCAUUCAUUGGACGUUGGACGGCCACCUCUUCAUAAGAUGUGUACAUGGUUGAUACACCUAAAGGAUCUGGCGACGACAAAGAAGAGCCGGAUAAGAACAAACCCUCGGAGACGCAGUCCAAGCGCCGGCGCCCCAAACACCGUUCUAAGCCUCGUCGCUCAAAGGAUGGAAACACUGGCACCGGAGAAAAUAGUACUCCGGGCGACGCCGAAAACAACGAAGACCCUGUCGGAGCUACAUCCGAACAGGAGGAAAACGGCAACGAGCAGGAUAACCCUGAUGAACAGGCCAUAGAAGAUGACCCGGAGGACGAUAGCUAUCAUCCACCCUCCGAGGAGGAAAAAAGCCUCUGCAACGACAAUUUCAUCGUGCCUGAGGAUCCUCUGGAGCAGGAGCGCUUUAAGAUACAACUCAUAGCCACUUCAAGGAGCCUGAAAAAGAAACAGCAGCAACUUCAAGCUGAACAAGAUCUGCUCGUCGACAGAUGGACUGACGUCCUGACAGCGGAAGAAUACGGCCUCAAGCGCCCAGCCAAGAGCUACCCGAAACGCAGACUGCUACCUCAAUUCGAUGAGGAGGCACCAGAGCACAUAUCUCCCCCGCGUAAUGCGGAACGACCACCGCGUGGUCGAGACAGGGGGGCCGACCGGCCGCCACACGGUCGGGAUAAAGCGGCCACUCAGGCCGAACAGUAGCCUGCCCAACCGCCCCGCAAAAAUAAAGACGGAAGAGUUCGGGGUCACACGUAUGACCUCCAGCAGACCCUGGACAAUAGAACAGGACAUACAAGAUCGAUCUACGGAUCGCGAGGACGUGCCUCGCGGCACGAAGACGACUACCUAUUCGGACGCGACAAACCUAACCACGCCCGGUCCGAAUGUCGCAGACGGACUCCAUCCGAGCUACGCCGCGACACGGCCCGGUAUAGAGGUGCCGCACACCCUCUCUGCUUCACAGACGAGGUACUGGAUCACGAAUUCCCCGAGGGAUUCAAGCCCGUCAAUAUCGAAUCAUACGACGGCACAACCGAUCCCGCAGUAUGGAUCGAGGAUUUCAUCCUCCACAUCCACAUGGCUCGAGGAGAUGAUCUCCAUGCCAUUAAAUACCUCCCACUCAAGCUGAAAGGGCCAGCUCGGCACUGGCUUAACAGCCUGCCUGAAAAUUCUAUCGGUGGCUGGGAGGACUUGGAAGAAGCUUUCCUGGACAACUUCCAAGGAACUUAUGUCCGGCCACCUGACGUCGAUGACUUAAGCCACAUAGUUCAACAACCUGGAGAAUCAGCCAGAAAAUUCUGGACUAGGUUCCUAACCAAAAAGAACCAGAUCGUUGACUGUCCGGAUGCCGAGGCCUUAGCAGCCUUCAAACACAGCAUCCGUGACGAAUGGCUAGCACGCCACCACGACCAAGAAAAGCCGAAGUCCAUGGCAGCCCUCACGGUACUCAUGACCCGCUUCUGCGCGGGAGAGGAUAGUUGGCUGGCUCGUAGUAACAACACAACCAGCGAGACAGGCCCCUCUGAGGCCAAAAAUAGCACUGGCAAGCUCCGGCGCAAUAGGCACAAAUGCCAAAGCAAUGACAACAACACCGAUGACACCACAGUCAACGCCGGAUUCAGCGGCUCCAAGUCCGGCCAACGGAAGAAGCCCUACAAAAGAAACAAUGAAGGACCUUCCAGCCUGGACCGCAUACUCGACCGUCCGUGCCAAAUACACGGCACCCCGGAUAAGCAAGCCAAUCACACCAACAGGGACUGUUGGGUUUUCAAGCAGGCCGGCAAGUUAAAUGCCGAAAAUAAAGAAAAGGGAUCACAAAGCGAGGACGAGGACGAAGACACAGUGCAGCAGCCUCAACCUGCUCUAUCAAGACACAGUGCGGAAGAUGGGCAUUGACCCCUCACGAAUCAAACCAACAAAGACUACCUUCAAAGGAGUCAUUCCGGGCGUCGAGGCCCGCUGUACGGGCUCAAUCACGCUGGAAGUGGUCUUUGGUUCUCCGGACAAUUUCCGAAGCGAGGAGUUAAUCUUCGACAUCAUCCCCUUCCGCAGCGGCUACCACGCACUACUCGGACGAACAACGUUUGCCAGAUUCAACGCAGUGCCACACUACGCUUAUCUCAAGCUCAAGAUGCCCGGUCCACGUGGCGUCAUAACAGUCAAUGGCAACACGAAACGCUCCCUCCGAACAGAGGAGCACACCGCCGCCCUAGCAACAGAGGUACAGAGCGGCCUUCUCAAGCAGCACCAUAGUGCGGCCGCCGAGCCCCUAGAUAUCAUCAAGAGGUUCCGAACCUCACUGCAGCAGGACAACACGGCUCGUCAAGAGCUUGAUUAGCAAUUCGGCCUCCGUCCCAGUCCCGAUGAAAUAGUGGCAUUUGUACCAAGCAUACAUAAAUACGCACUCGAAAUUCCAUGGACAUCGACGGAGGCACAAGCUAACCCGGGAUCUACAGUUCGGUUAGACCGACCCCGGACACACUUUUUCUUUUCGGUUUCAGGCUCCUUCUCCUGCGAGCCUAAUCACUGGCCCCUUCGAAGGAUCGGCACACAAAGGGGGCAUGCAACAUAGGUGUGUAGGAUAACCUCCAUACGUUCUUCUUGACGGUAUUUUUACUUAUUAUCCCAGAACCUGCACCCUGCUCCCUCUUGAUUCCGGCAUGUUAAAUAGUCCGGGUGUUUAUUGCACUAUUUGUAUAAGAUACGCCUUGACGUAUCCAUUCGGUUAUAAUGAAAAUGAUUUGCGGCCCAGUUUCUGCGGUUUUCGCUUUCUUACUUCAUUUCAUUUCGAUCUGCUUAUCAGCUGCAUCGGUACUCUUUUUGUACAUCUCAUAUUCGCCAGGGGCUGCUUAUCGCCCCACAAUACGGCAGCAAAGUCCGAACACUUUUAUAUAUAAGUUCGGCACCCCGAAUUUAGCAUUAUAUGCAUUGGCUCCGAAUCAUGUCUUUGGUCAAUAGUUGGGUUGCCCGGCUCUUGUGCUUGCUACCCUACGUUCCGCUCUAUCGGCUAGGGUAGUACGGGGAGAACUACUGCGAUUGUGUCCUGGCCUCGACCGGAUGAGCACCUCAGUAGAGAAAGCCGAAAACUGACUGUCAUGAUACGGCGAGAUCCGGUCAGCUGUUCAAGGGUUAUAAAAUCAUUGGAGAUUUCUUCCGCGUCACGCGAAGGAUCGACACUUCCCGAUCAGAUGCUGACAGCACCCUGGCCUGGACUAGGGGCUGCGCAUGUGCUUAAUUAUAAACUCCUAUGGCUAAGUGAGGGCGUUUAAGCCGUACAGUCUGAUUGCCUUGUUCGUUGCGCUAAACAACUCCUCCAAAGGACCAUAUAAUUGGAUCAAGAUUGUUUAGAUCCCAUCCCGAACACCUCCGUACUACCUACGUGAGGGAAGAAGCCGACGACUGGCCAACCCUCAGAUUACAAACAACACGGCCGCACAGGGGGAAACAAUUAAAGCACAAUGAUAUUACAUUACGGGCUUUGUCUCCAUAAUACAAUGCAGGGGCAACAUGAAUACAUUCAUUCAAAUACAAUAUCCUGCAAACAUUGAGCUGCCGCAAGUCGAGACCCUUCUAGGACAUCCGCAAAAUAUCUCCCGGGUGUGCGGUGCUCCUUGCCCUCCGGCGGCCCGCUGGCAACUUCAACAGCGUUCAUCUUCGCCCACCACAUCUUGCAGGGAGCGAAGGCCAUACGGGCACCUUCAAUACAGGCAGAGCGCUUGACGACGUCCAGCCGCGGACAAGCUUCCACUAGCCGCCUCACGAGUCCGAAGUAGCUGCCGGGCAUAGCUUCGGCUGGCCAUAGCCGGAUUGUUAAAUCCUUCAUGGCUAGUUCGGCCACCCUGUGCAGCUCCACCAGCUGCUUCAGCUGAUCGGUGAAGGACACGGGUUGCUCUGACGUCGCAUACUGCGUCCAGAAUAGCUUCUCCGUCGAACCUCCUCCUUCGGCUCGGUAGAACUCUGCAGUGUCUGAUACGCUACGUGGUAAAUCCGCAAAAUCCCCUAGGGAACUCCGAACCCGGGUUAGUAAAAGGUAUUGCUUCUCCGCAUACUUGCUUUGCAUCUUAAAGGCCUUACCCGCCGUGAUCUUCCUAGCCUCCUGGAUCUCCUGGAGGGCGGCCCGGGCCUCAUUCCGUGCGGUCUCCGCACUCUGACGAGCCUUGGAGAGUUCGGCCUUUUGAGCCGACGCAUCAUUCUUCAAGGUCUCACAUUUUUCACCGCGUCUUGGAGCUCCUGUUGGACCUCCUUGACUCGGGCCUCGAGCUUUUUCCGAGCGGCUUGCUGCUCGACGGCCUUCCCCUCGGCUUUGGCCAGAGCCUUUUUUAGGGCCUCCACCUCGGUUGCAGCUCCUGCACAUAUUUCGACAUUAUGGUCAGUACACAACGCUUGUUCUUUCCGAACGCACAGCAAGACGUUACUCACCUUGCUUCUCCUGAAGCCGCAUUGUAACCUCGUCGAGCUCGUUCUCGGUCCGCUCCAGCCUCUGCUUUAAUCCAGAGACUUCGGCAGCAUGUGAGGUUGCGGCCAACAGUGACGCCUGCUUAUGCAUACAUGUUAUGUUAGUCUCCUACAACAGAAGAUUGAUCCUCUGUCCGGUUCUUCUAUCCGAACACCGGAUAGUGUCUCAGGGGCUACUGACUACACGGGGAUUUUUUCUCUUUUCACUUACCUCAAAACUUGUUAACAGGCUGCCGGGCCUCAUUCAGUCCGCUCUUGGCGGAUUGAACUUUCUUGAUCACCGCACCCAUAAGGACACGAUGCUCGUCUACGACGGAGGCGCUUCGUAGCGCCCCCAUCAGAUCAUCCGACGCUCCUGGAUGGACAGGAGCCACCGGCGGAGGCGGCACACCCCCCUCCUUCAAAGGGAGCUGCUCGCCCGACUCCAGAGCCAUAUGGGGCUCCGAAACCGUAUUCGGCUGAGGGCCGAUCUGGAUACGGCCCUCUUCGCCAGUCUCCAUGGGGAUUGGAUCCCCCAUGUGUCCGGCAAUGGAGGUCUCGCCUUGUGGCGCCUCCCGAACAACGUCCUGGGCUCCUCCCUUCAGAGUGGUCCUCCGAGACAGCACUUCGGUGUCGUCCCUGGCCCCGGGGGAGUAAGCAGGCGGUGGCGACCUGCUCGCCAUCUCCGAUGAAGCCAACGAACCUCCAGAGGAGGAUUGCUGGAUAAGAUCACGGGCCGGACUGCAAUGGUGUAGUUAACCAUGUUACAAUAAUAAAUAGGAAGAGCUGAUAUGCGCAUCAAUAAGCCGUGUCACUCAUGAGGCGGCCUGAGGCUUAGUGCGGGGACGUCGUUCCGGACUGCUGUCAACGUCCCAUGCGGUGUGGGCCGCUGGGACGCCCUUCCCCUUCUUGGGUGCUUCCGCCUCCAGAUGCGCCGAAGCCGCCCUCUUCUUUUUCUUCCUCUCCUCAGGGGGAGGAUCGUUUUAUUCCUCCUGCUCUUCUUCCUCGUCAUCAUCCUCAGGGACGGAGGAAUGGGUCUUGUCGUCUUCGGACGGUGCGUCCGAAGCUCCCUUACGACGGGGGCCACUCUUGGCCCCCUUGGCCUUCUUCUCCGGCGCCUUAUAUGGCGUUGGCACCAGAUCUUCGCUAGACGCGGGAUGACUGGUUAUUCAGGCAACGGAGCCAGACACUGGAUCCGCUUCGCUCUCUCCGUCCAGUCCUGAAAGAGCAAUAAUAAAAGCUCAGGCAUCGCCCUUGCAACAAACAGGCAGGGAAUACAUUAAAAAAGACAUACCUCACUGGCAGGAUGCUUAGCGUCGUGUCCGCGAUCUGAAUCCGCGGGCGACGGUUUUUUGUCGCCCUUAAAGAGCAACUUCCACGCAUCCUCGUGAGUAGUCUCGAAGAGCCUUACCAAGGUAUGGUGCUUCUUCGGAUUGAACUCCCACAAAGGGCUGCUUCGGCGUUGGCACGGGAGAAUCCGGUGAACUAACAUCACCUGGAUUACAUCUACGAGCUUGACGUUCUUGGCUAUCAUGCUUUGAACGCGCGUCUGCAACGCUAUUACCUCAUCGGCCGAACCCCAGUCGGGACUCUACUCAACCCAAGAGGUGAGCCGCAUAGGAGCACCGGAGCGGAAUUCGGCAGGCGCGGCCCAGGAGGUGCCGCGGGGUUCUGUGGUAUAGAACCAUUGUCUCUGCCACUCCUUCACUGUCUCCACAAAAAUGCCUUUCGGCCAGGAGACGUUGGGCAGCUUGCUCACCAUGGCUCCUCCGCACUCCGCGUGCUGGCCGUCUACCACCUUCGGCUUCACGUUGAAGACUUUGAGCCACAACCCGAAGUGGGGGUGGAUGCGGAGGAAGGCCUCGCACACGACGAUGAACGCCGAGAUGUUGAGGAAGGAAUUCGGGGACAGAUCAUGGAAAUCCACCCCGUAAUAAUACAUCAGCCCGUGGACAAAGGGGUGGAUUGGGAACCCCAGCCCGCGGAAGAAAUGAGGGAGGAAUAGUACACUCUCGUUGUGCUCCGGCGUGGGAACGAUUUGUCCCUCGGCCGACAAACGGUGGGCGAUUCCCUUCGCCCAAUAUCCGGCCGCCCGGAGCUCGGUAAUGUCCUCCUCCGUGACGGAGGAGACCUGCUACCUCUUGAGCACUGCGUUGGUUUUCCCUUGAAGAGGAAAGGGUGAUGCAGUAAAGUAGCGUAAGUAUUUCCCUCAGUUUUUGAGAACCAAGGUAUCAAUCCAGUAGGAGGCCACGCACGAGUCCCUCGCACCUACACAAACAAAUAAAUCCUCGCAACCAACGCAAUAAAGGGGUUGCCAAUCCCUUCACUGUCACUUACGAGAGUGAGAUCUGAUAGAUAUGAUAAGAUAAUAUUUUUGGUAUUUUUUGAAGGAAAUUUGCCCUAGAGGCAAUAAUAAAGUUAUUAUUUAUUUCCUUAUAUCAUGAUAAAUGUUUAUUAUUCAUGCUAGAAUUGUAUUAACCGGGAACAUAAUACUUGUGUGAAUACAUAGACAAACAAAGUGUCACUAGUAUGCCUCUACUUGACUAGCUCGUUGAUCAAAGAUGGUUAUGUUUCCUAGCCAUUGACAUGAGUUGUCAUUUGAUUAACGGGAUCACAUCAUUAGGAGAAUGAUGUGAUUGACUUGACCCAUUCCGUUAGCUUAGCACUCGAUCGUUUAGUAUGUUGCUAUUGCUUUCUUCAUGACUUAUACAUGUUCCUAUGACUAUGAGAUUAUGCAACUCCCGUUUACCGGAGGAACACUUUGUGUGCUACCAAACGUCACAACGUAACUGGGUGAUUAUAAAGGUGCUCUACAGGUGUCUCCGAAGGUACUUGUUGGGUUGGCGUAUUUCGAGAUUAGGAUUUGUCACUCCGAUUGUCGGAGAGGUAUCUCUGGGUCCUCUCGGUAAUGCACAUCACUUAAGCCUUGCAAGCAUUGCAACUAAUGAGUUUGUUGCGAGAUGAUGUAUUACGGAACGAGUAAAGAGACUUGCCGGUAACGAGAUCUAACUAGGUAUUAAGAUACCGACGAUCGAAUCUCGGGCAAGUAACAUACCGAUGACAAAGGGAACAACGUAUGUUGUUAUGCGGUCUGACCGAUAAAGAUCUUCGUAGAAUUUGUGGGAGCCAAUAUGAGCAUCCAGGUUCCGCUAUUGGUUAUUGACCGGAGACAUGUCUCAGUCAUGUCUACAUAGUUCUCGAACCCGUAGGGUCCGCACGCUUAACGUUUCGAUGACAGUUAUAUUAUGAGUUUAUAUGUUUUGAUGUACCGAAGUUUUUUCGGAGUCCCGGAUGUGAUCACGGACAUGACGAGGAGUCUCAAAAUGGUCGAGACAUAAAGAUUGAUAUAUUGGAAGCCUAUGUUUGGAUAUCGGAAGUGUUCCGGGUGAAAUCGGGAUUUUACGGGAGUACCGGGAGGUUACCGGAACCCCCCGGCAACAUAAUGGGCCUUAGUGGGCCUAGGUGGAAGAGAGGAGAGGCGGCUAGCGCUGGGACGCGCGCCCCUCCCCCCUAGUCCGAAUAGGACAAGGAGAAGGGGGCGGCGCCCCCCUUCCUUCUUCUCCCUCUCCUCUUUCCCCCCUCCCAAGUCCUAAUCCAACUAGAAAAAGGGGGGGCGGGAGUCCUACUCCCGGUGGGAGUAGGACUCCUCCUGGCGCGCCCCAAGGCUGGCCGCACCUCUCCCCCUUUGCUCCUUUAUAUACGGGGGCAGGGGGCACCCCAAAGACACAACAAUUGAUCGUUUGAUCUUUUAGCCGUGUGCGGUGCCCCCCUCCACCAUAGUCCACCUCGAUAAUACUGUAGCGGUGCUUAGGCGAAGCCCUGCAUCGGUAGAACAUCAUCAUCGUCACCACGCCGUUGUGCUGACAAAACUCUCCCUCAACACUCGGCUGGAUCGGAGUUCGAGGGACGUCAUCGGGCUGAACGUGUGCUGAACUCGGAGGUGUCGUGCGUUCGGUACUUGAUCGGUCGGAUCGUGAAGACGUAUGACUACAUCAACCGCGUUGUGCUAACGCUUCCGCUUUCGGUCUACGAGGGUACGUGGACAACACUCUCCCCUCUCGUUGCUAUGCAUCACCAUGAUCUUGCGUGUGCGUAGGAAAAAUUUGAAAUUACUACGUUCUCCAACAUUUUUAUGAUAAAGAUGCAAAGUAAAAUAAAAGGCAAUAAAAAUAGCUAAGUGUUGAAAGAUUAAUAUGAUGGAAAAUAGACCCGGGGGCCAUAGGUUUCACUAGUGGCUUCUCUCAAGAGCAUAAGUAUUACGGUGGGUGAACAAAUUACUAUUGAGCAAUUGACAGAAUUGAGCAUAGUUAUGAGAAUAUCUAGGUACGAUCAUGUAUAUAGGCAUCAUGUCCGAGACAGGUAGACCGACUCCUGCCUGCAUCUACUACUAUUACUCCACACUCGACCGCUAUCCAGCAUGCAUCUAGAGUAUUAAGUUCAUAAGAACAGAGUAACGCUUUAAGCAAGAUGACAUGAUGUAGAGGGAUAAACUCAUGCAGUAUGAUAUAAACCCCAUCUUGUUAUCCUCGAUGGCAAUAAUACAAUACGUGCCUUGCUGCCCCUACUGUCACUGGGAAAGGACACCGCAAGAUUGAACCCAAAGCUAAGUACUUAUGCCAUUGCAAGAAAGAUCAAUCUAGUAGGCCAAACCAAACUGAUAAUUCGAGAGACUUGCAAAGAUAACCAAUCAUACAUAAAAGAAUUCAGAGAAGAUUCAAAUAUUGUUCAUAGAUAAACUUGAUCAUAAACCCACAAUUCAUCGGUCUCAACAAACACACCGCAAAACAAGAUUACAUCGAAUAGAUCUCCACAAGAGAGGGGGAGAACAUUGUAUUGAGAUCCAAAAAGAGAGAAAGAAGCCAUCUAGCUAAUAACUAUGGACCCGAAGGUCUGAGGUAAACUACUCACACAUCAUCGGAGAGGCUAUGGUGUUGAUGUAGAAGCCCUCCGUGAUCGAUGCCCCCUCCGGCGGAGCUCCGGAAAAGGCCCCAAGAUGGGAUCUCACGGAUACAGAAGGUUGCGGUGGUGGAAUUAGGUUUUUGGCUCUGUUUCUGGUAGUUUGGGGGUACGUAGGUAUAUAUAGGAGGAAGAAGUGCGUCGGUGGAGCAACAUGGGGCCCACGAGGGUGGAGGGGGCGCCCUAGGGGGGGGGGGGGUAGGCGCACCCCUACCUCGUGCCCUCCUGGUUGAUGUCUUGACGUAGGGUCCAAGUCCUCUGGAUCACGUUCGUUCCGAAAAUCACGUUCCCGAAGGUUUCAUUCCGUUUGGACUCCGUUUGAUAUUCUUUUUCUGUGAAACUCUGAAAUAGGCAAAAAAACAACAAUUCUGGGUUGGGCCUCCGGUUAAUAGGUUAGUCCCAAAAAUAAUAUAAAAGUGUAUAAUAAAGCCCAUUAAUGUCCAAAACAGAAUAUAAUAUAGCAUGGAACAAUAAAAAAUUAUAGAUAUGUUGGAGACGUAUCAAGCAUCCCCAAGCUUAAUUCCUGCUCGUCCUCGAGUAGGUAAAUGAUAAAAACGGAAUUUUUGAUGUGGAAUGCUACUUGGCAUAAUUUCAAUGUAAUUCUCUUAAUUGUGGUAUGAAUAUUCAGAUCCGAAAGAUUCAAGACAAUAGUUUAAUAUUGACAUAAAAAUAAUAAUACUUCAAGCAUACUAACUAAGCAAUUAUGUCUUCUCAAAAUGACAUGGCCAAAGAAAGUUAUCCCUACAAAAUCAUAUAGUCUGGCUAUGCUCUAUCUUCACCACACAAAGUAUUUAAAUCAUGCACAACCCCGAUGACAAGCCAAGCAAUUGUUUCAUACUUUUGAUGUUCUCAAACUUUUUCAAUCUUCACGCAAUACAUGAGCGUGAGCCAUGGAUAUAUCACUAUAUGUGGAAUAGAAUGGUGGUUGUGGAGAAGACAAAAAGGAGAAGAUAGCCUCACAUCAACUAGGCGUAUCAAUGGGCUAUGGAGAUGCCCAUCAAUAGAUAUCAAUGUGAGUGAGUAGGGAUUGCCAUGCAACGGAUGCACUAGAGCUAUAAGUAUAAAAGCUCAACGAAAGGAACUAAGUGGGUGUGCAUCCAACUCGCUUGCUCAUGAAGACCUAGGGCAUUUUGAGGAAGCCCAUCAUUGGAAUAUACAAGCCAAGUUCUAUAAUGAAAAUUUCCCACUAGUAUAUGAAAGUGAUAUCAUAGGAGACUCUCUAUCAUGAAGAUCAUGGUGCUACUUUGAAGCACAAGUGUGGUAAAAGGAUAGUAGCAUUGUCCCUUCUCUCUUUUUCUCUCAUUUUUUUGGGCCUUCCUUUUUUAUGGCCUUUCUCUCUUUUUUUAUUUAGUCCCGAGUCUCAUCCCGACUUGUGGGGGAAUCAUAGUCUCCAUCAUCCUUUCCUCACUUGGGACAAUGCUCUAAAUGAUGAUCAUCACUUUUAUUUACUUACAACUCAAUUCUUAGAACAAAAUAUGACUCUAUGUGAAUGCCUCCGGCGGUGUACCGGGACAUGCAAUGAAUCAAGAGUGACAUGUAUGAAAGAAUUAUGAACGGUGGCUUUGCCACAAAUAAAAUGUCAACUAAAUGAUCAUGCAAAGCAAUAUGACAAUGAUGGAGCGUGUCAUAAUAAACGGAACGAUGGAAAGUUGCAUGGAAAUAUAUCUCGGAAUGGCUAUGGAAAUUCCAUGGUAGGUAGGUAUAGUGGCUGUUUUUAGGAAGGUAUAUGGUGGGUGUAUGAUACCGACGAAAAGUGCGCGGUAUUAGAGAGGCUAGCAUUGGUGGAAGGAAGAAAAGUGCAUAUAAUCCAUGGAGUCAACAUUAGUCAUAAAGAACUCAUAUACUUAUUGCGAAAAUCUACAAGUUAUCAAAGCAAAGUAUUACGCGCAUGCUCCUAGGGGGAUAGAUUGGUAGGAAAAGACCAUCGCUCGUCCCCGACCGCCACUCAUAAGGAAGACAAUCAAUAAAUAAAUCAUGCUCCGACUUCAUCACAUAACGGUUCACCAUACGUGCAUGCUACGGGAAUCACAAACUUUAACACAAGUAUUUCUCAAAUUCACAACUACCCAACUAGCAUUACUCUAAUAUCAUCAUCUCCAUAUCUCAAAACAAUUAUCAAGCAUCUAACUUCUCAUAGUAUUCAACACACUCAUAAGAAUUUUUUUACUAAUCUUGAAUGCCUAUUAAAGCACAUUACCAUGCUGCUUUGUAGUACUCUCAAAAUAAUCUAAGUGAAGCAUGAGAUAAAAAUAGUUUCUAUAAAACAAAAACACCACGGUGCUCUAAAAGAUAUAAGUGAAGUACUAGAGCAAAAACUAUAUAACUCAAAAGAUAUAAGUGAAGCACAUAGAGUAUUCUAACAAUUUCCGAAUCAUGUGUGUUUCUCUCAAAAGGUGUGUACAGCAAAGAUGAUUGUGGUAAACUAAAAACAAAGACUCAAAUAAUACAAGACGCUCCAAGCAAAACACAUAUCAUGUGGUGAAUAAAAAUAUAGCUCCAAGUAAAGUUACCGAUGGAAGUAGACGAAAGAGGGGAUGCCUUCCGGGGCAUCCCCAAGCUUUGGCUUUUAGGUGUCCUUAGAUUAUCUUGGGGUGCCAUGGGCAUCCCCAAGCUUAGGCUCUUGCCACUCCUUGUUCCAUAAUCCAUCAAAUCUUUCACCCAAAACUUGAAAACUUCACAACACAAAACUCAGCAGAAAAUCUCGUGAGCUCCGUUAGCGAAAGAAAACAAAACACCACUUCAAGGUACUGUAAUUAACUCAUUAUUUAUUUAUAUUGGUGUUAAACCUACUGUAUUCCAACUUCUCUAUGGUUUAUAAACUAUUUUACUAGCCAUAGAUUCAUCAAAAUAAGCAAACAACACACGAAAAACAGAAUCUGUCAAAAACAGAACAGUCUGUAGUAAUCUGUAACUAACGCAAACUUCUAUAACUCAAACAAUUCUACCAGAAUAGGAAGACCUGGAAAAUUUGUUUAUUGAUCAGCAGCAAUUGGAAUCAAUGUUUUAUCACGUUCUGGUAAUUUUUAACAAUUAUUUUCGUGAACAGAAAGUUUCUGGAAUUUUCAGCAAGAUCAAAUAACUAUCAUCCAAGAAGAUCCUAUAGGUUAAACUUGGCACAAACACUAAUUAAAACAUAAAAACAAAUCUAACCAGAGGCUAGAUCAAAUAUUUAUUCCUAAACAGAAGCAAAAAGCAAAAAAAAAAUUGGGUUGCCUCCCAACAAGCGCUAUCGUUUAACGCUCCUAGCUAGGCAUAAAAGGAAGGAUAGAUCUAAGUAUUGCCAUCUUUGGUUUUUGGGAAGAAAAGAGAAAACUUGUUAUCUAUGGAAUUAAUCUUUCUAUUUUGAUAAAGCACGUGGCUAUUAAUGGUAGAAGAAAGAUUAAGCACGUUGCGGAAAUUUGCAUCUAGGCUAGCUUUUAUCUCUUUGAUAGAUUCGUCUUGGUAGGAGAGCAAAAGAGAUGUGGAUUCAACUUUCUCAUUCAUGGGAUGCCCAAAUAUAGUUUUAAUCUUUUCAUAGGUAUCUAUGGGGUCCCCUUCAAGAAAACCUUCUUCAAAAAUAGAAUCUAGAACUUGUUUGAACGAAGUGGGCAACCCAACAUAAAAGCUUUUUAGAUAAACCUCAAUUUGAUAUUGGGGUACAUAGCUAGCCCGGAUCCUUAACAUCCUAUCCCAAGCAUCUUUCAAAGAUUCAUCGAGUAAAUAACGAAAAAAUUCCGGAAUCAUCUUCAUCAAAAUUAUUAGGACUCUCAUUGACAACUCCGGCAGGUUUUUCCAUAACAUUGUUUAUGAGUUUAGAUAGAAUAGAAGGAUCGUCCCAAGUACUAGGGCUCGGGAGAGAACCCCCAACUCUUUUUGGUUCCGACAUGGCGAAAGAAAGGCGAGCGAAAAGAGGCAAACGGUAAAGAGAGGGCGAAUAAAAUGGCAAGGUUGAAGUGGGGGAGAGGAAAACGAGAGGCAAAUGGCAAAUAAUGUAAUGCGGGAGAUAAGGGUUUGUGAUGGGUACUUGGUAUGUUGACUUCUGCGUAGACUCCCCGGCAACGGCGCCAGAAAUCCUUCUUGCUACCUCUUGAGCACUGCGUUGGUUUUCCCUUGAAGAGGAAAGGGUGAUGCAGUAAAGUAGCGUAAGUAUUUCCCUCAGUUUUUGAGAACCAAGGUAUCAAUCCAGUAGGAGGCCACGCACGAGUCCCUCGCACCUACACAAACAAAUAAAUCCUCGCAACCAACGCAAUAAAGGGGUUGUCAAUCCCUUCACGAUCACUUACAAGAGUGAGAUCUGAUAGAUAUGAUAAGAUAAUAUUUUUGGUAUUUUUAUGAUAAAGAUGCAAAGUAAAAUAAAAGGCAAUAAAAAUAGCUAAGUGUUGAAAGAUUAAUAUGAUGGAAAAUAGACCCGGGGGCCAUAGGUUUCACUAGUGGCUUCUCUCAAGAGCAUAAGUAUUAUGGUGGGUGAACAAAUUACUGUUGAGCAAUUGACAGAAUUGAGCAUAGUUAUGAGAAUAUCUAGGUAUGAUCAUGUAUAUAGGCAUCACGUCUGAGACAAGUAGACCGACUCCUGCCUGCAUCUACUACUAUUACUCCACACAUCAACCGCUAUCCAGCAUGCAUCUAGAGUAUUAAGUUCAUAAGAACAGAGUAACGCUUUAAGCAAGAUGACAUGAUGUAGAGGGAUAAACUCAUGCAAUAUGAUAUAAACCCCAUCUUGUUAUCCUCCAUGGCAACAAUACAAUACGUACCUUGCUGCCCCUACUGUCACUGGGAAAGGACACCGCAAGAUUGAACCCAAAGCUAAGCACUUCUCCCAUUGCAAGAAAGAUCAAUCUAGUAGGCCAAACCAAACUGAUAAUUCGAAGAGACUUGCAAAUAUAACCAAUCAUACAUAAAAGAAUUCAGAGAAGAUUCAAAUAUUGCUCAUAGAUAAACUUGAUCAUAAACCCACAAUUCAUCGGUCUCAACAAACACAUCGCAAAACAAGAUUACAUCGAAUAGAUCUCCACAAGAGAGGGGGAGAACAUUGUAUUGAGAUCCAAAAAGAGAGAAGAAGCCAUCUAGCUAAUAACAAUGGAACCGAAGGUAUGAGGUAAACUACUCACACAUCAUCGGAGAGGCUAUGGUGUUGAUGUAAAAGCCCUCCGUGAUCGAUGCCCCCUCCGGCGGAGCUCCGGAAAAGGCCCCAAGAUGGGAUCUCACGGAUACAGAAGGUUGCGGCAAUGGAAUUAGGUUUUUGGCUCCGUUUCUGGUAGUUUGGGGGUACGUAGGUAUAUAUAGGAGGAAGAAGUACGUCGGUGGAGCAACGUGGGGCCCACGAGGAUGGAGGGCGCGCCCUGGGGGGAGGCGCGCCUCCCUACCUUGUGCCCUCCUGGUUGAUGUCUUGACGUAGGGUCCAAGUCCUCUGGAUCACGUUCGUUCCGAAAAUCACGUUCCCGAAGGUUUCAUUCCGUUUGGACUCCGUUUGAUAUUCUUUUUCUGCGAAACUCUGAAAUAGGCAAAAAACAGCAAUUCUGGGCUGGGCCUCCGGUUAAUUGGUUAGUCCCAAAAAUAAUAUAAAAGUGUAUAAUAAAGCCCAUUAAUAUCCAAAACAGAAUAUAAUAUAGCAUGGAACAAUAAAAAAUUAUAGAUACGUUGGAGACGUAUCAAGACCAUCCACUUGCCCUGACCACCGGAUCCGGACAUGGUUGCUUGAGUGGAAAGGAGGUUGGAACUUGGGCGCUGGAGCUCGAGAUUGGGAAGGCAGAGACAGAGAGAAAGCGUGAGAAGAGGAAGGGGGAAUCCUUAUCUCCUUAUAAAGGCAGCCAAUAUUAAACGCCUCCUCGCUCGCCUUGAGAUUCGCCUAUUCCCAAGGGCUGUGUAAACGGCACGGUUGGGUUACCCAUGCCCGCAUUAAUGAGAAUCCCGCAAUAAGGGGACACGAUCUCUGCUUCGACAAGACAUGCCAAUAGCAACCACGUCUCGAAACGUGGGAUGGCAGAUGAAAAACGGUUCGAGAUUAUGACCGGACAGACGCAAUGUCGUGUUGUGAAGAGCUGUCAACAGAUUAGAUUUGUGCAAGUAUUAUAUUCUCUCUGCGGUUGUGUGUGGUAUGUGUUACAGGUGCGGAUACAAUCAUAGCGUCCGAAGACUAUCUCGGAGUUCGGAAAAAGGGGAACCCGCCUUGCAAUGCCGAAGACAAUCUGCGCGCCGGACUCCUCGUCAUUGAAGCCAGGUUCAGGGGCUACCGAGGGAGUCCUGGAUUAAGGGGUCCUCGGGCGUCCGGCCUGUUAUCCAUGGGCCGGACUGAUGGGCUGUGAAGACACGAAGGCCGAAGACUAUACCUAUGUCCGGAUUGGACUCUACUUGGCGUGGAAGGCAAGCUAGGCGACCGACUAUGAAGAUUCCCUCUUAUGUAACCGACCUCAUGUAAACCUAGAUCUCUCUGGUGUCUAUAUAAAGCGGAGAGCAUAGUCCGGAUAGGACAGAUUCAUUACCAUAUACUGAUAGGCUAGACUUCUAGGGUUUAGCCAUUACGAUCUCGUCGUAGAUCAACUCUUGUAACACCCAUAUUCAUCAAGAUCAAGCAAGCAGGAAGUAGGGUAUUACCUCCAUAGAGAGGGCCCGAACCUGGGUAAACAUUGUGUCCCCCGUCUCCUGUUACCAUCGAUCCUAGACGCACAGUUCGGGACCCCCUACCCGAGAUCCGACGGUUUUGACACCGACUUUGGUGCUUUCAUUGAGAGUUCCACCGUGCCGUCGACGAAAGGACUCGAUGGCCCCUUCGAUCGUCAGUAAUGACGCCGUCCAGGGAGAAACCUUUCUCCCCGGACAAAUCUUUGUGUUCGGCGGCUUCGUACUGCGGGCUAACUCGCUUGGCCGUCUGGAGCAGAUCGAUAGCUACGCCCCUGGCCACCAGGUCAGAUUUGGAAGCCUAAACUACCUCGCGUAUAUCCGCGGAGACUUGAUCUUCAAUGGAUUCGAGACCGCGACAGUUGCUUCCCUGUGCUCCGAUGAACACGAGGAGGCUGCGGUCUAAUUCUUUUUACAUAUGGACCUUCUGUUGGAGCAGCGUUUUUUGCCCGAGACGGUUCAAAGGUUAAGUAUUUUUACAUUUGUACCGUCUAUUGGAAAUGCUCUUAGAGUAUGAAAUAAACCGAAGGAAUUAAUAUAUUGAUAAUCGGGAUUAUAUAAAACAGUGAUUUUUUUGGCUGCCUCACUUGUCGUUAUGGCAGCGCUUACGGUACAGCACACACAUGACAUAUCACAACAGAGAGCUCAUGAAAGCAGAGUCCAUGCGUGCCAUCAAGCCGCCGCAGCAAGCUUCAUCUCCUCCUUGAUGGCGGCGGCGAGCUGGUCGUAGGCCUCCUCCCAGGCGGCCUUCAUCUCCGGCGUCCACAUCUCGGGGACGGCGCCCUCGAUGGUGUCCAGCAGCGCCGUCUUCACCACCUCGAAGUGCGCGUCGGCGACGCCGGCCCUGACGUGGGUGGCGCCGAGGCGCCUCAGCGUGGCCUCCCUCACCUUGACGUCGCCGGUCUUGCGCAGCUGCGUGGCCGACUCGCAGGCCAUGACGAAGACGGUCACGGCGUGCGCCUUGAGCUUCGGGUGGCUCUCGAGCGGCGCGUCCUCGCCGGCGUCGCGCAGGAACGGGAACAUCGGCUUGGCCGCCGGCGCGAUCUCGAAGAUCCUGAGAAAUGCAAGGCGUUAAUUGGUCCGGUGAAUGACGAUCGGACACAUGACAUGAUGCAUGACAGCAUGAGCAAUGCAAGUGAAAGGACACCUGAGGAAGAACUUGAGAGCGAUGGAUUCGGAGUCCGGCUUCAUGGCUUUCCAUGAGCGCAGGACCAGCUCCUCCUGCGCCUCGCUGAACGCCAUUUGAUUCUCUCUGCCUCCGCGUGUUUUCUUAAUCUGUCUCGUUUCUUGGUGCGUGUGAUCGAUCGUGUCUAGAGGUACGAGUUCUGGUGACGGUUUAUAUAGGCAAGGCUGGGUGGCUCUCUGCUGGCUCGAUGUGAUACUGAUAGUACUAUUAUUUUGUACUCCUACCAGAUAGAUGGCCCUUGGGUGCGUGAGCGGGCAGAGACUUCUGACGAAGCAAAAGCCAGCUACGAUACGCUGUAGACUUUUGGCCGAUCUUCCACGUCUUUGUCCGGAUCUCAAAAAUCAAAUCCGUUUUCCUUUCUUCCACUACUGGUAUCCUUCUUUUCGGAGAUUCUACGUGGGCCAAUUGAACAAAGUUAUUUCUCCCUCUGAUCAAACAAAAGAUUACAGUGCGUCUGUACAUGUUUUUCUUUACUUUAGGGUGUCUCAGUCGAACCAAGUCUCAAUUAAAUGAUAUAAUAUAUAAAAAAUUAAAAUCUGAAAAGAAUUAUUUUGUACGAAUCUCCAUGCAAAUCAAAAGAAUAUAGCAUCCACUGAGACAUAACGAAGUACUUAGAAAAACUUUUUUUUAAGCAUGCAUGAAACGAUAUAUACCCUUUUUUUAAGUUCAGUGAGAAAUGUAACCGCACGUGCUCGAGGGACGGAUGUGCUCUCUUCGGGCACUGAAACGAUAUGUACUAGUAGUGGAUGGAUGCAUCAAACGGCAGUACAUAUAUGAACAUUUGUGCGUACUGUACCUGAGGAAGAACUUGAGCGCGAUGGCGGCGGAGUCCCCCUUCAUGGCGUCCCACGCGCUCAGCACCAGCGCCUCCUGCUCCUCGCUGAAGGUGCUCGCCUCCUCCGAUGGCAUCUCCGUCGUUGCAGCCUGCUCCUCGCUGAAUCUGGCCGCCGACACCACUGGCUCCUCCGAUGGCCUCUCCAUCGUUGCGGCCCGCUCUUCGCCGUUGCUGCUCAUGUCUGUCCGGCCGGCAAUAUGACGUCAGGAAGGGAAGCACACAAGUCGCAAAGUUUCGCCUGCCCUGUCCAGUGGAGGUGCGACGAGACGACAUGAUCUAGUAGUAGCUAGCUGGGUCGCUAGCGGCCAAGGAGUAGGAUGGAGCGACGUUGAUCCGUGAAACGUUCACGAUCACGUACGGUCACCGUGAUGGGCUCCAUCCCGGCCGUUAGCGGGAGCGGCAAAGGAAAAUCUUCAGCUCCAGCCGGGCAGUGUGGACGCCACAGCCUGUCCCCUAGCACGGAUUCGUGAUGGGCUGCCCACUUCUCUUUCAGAUGAUACCCCCUCUGUAAAGUAGUGACCUCAAACGUCUUAUGAAAGUCUACAGAGGGAGUAGAAGAGUAACUCUUCAUAAAAGGAAUAUGACAUGGACACAAAAACAUUACAAAGGGCAUAUUGUUAGCCAUCACCUAUUUUGGAACAUAAAAUCAUUGGAAUAUUUUGCUCCAACCAGGGGCGAAGCUGAAAAAUAAAUCCUAUGGGGUCAGUCCUAUAGGUACGGUGACAAAAAAGUUGACAGUUAUCAGAUCAAAUUUAUUGAAGAAUUUUCAAAAAUCCUGGUGUCAGCUGACACGAGUGUCUGUUCUGGAGCUUCGUCCCUGGAUCCAACUUGUUGAUGCCCUCCUUCAUUGCCAGUCUGUUUGCUGCAACAUUGACCAACAUCAUAGUGAGUUAAUAGGAAAAAGCAUAGCCUACAAUGGAUUAGAAAUAUUCUUCUUAUAUAAAAUAAUAUCAUUAUGGCGAAGCCAAAUGGACCAACACAAAACACUAACACUAACGCCAACAUAAAAUAGCUGAUUUAAGUGCUCACGGGGUCCUAUUAAGCCGAUUGUCAAAUAUAUGAGGUAUAGAGGUACCGAUGUUUAAAUUAAAAGCCAAGCUAAUGAGUAACAAAUGAAGGCAAGCGCAAUGACAAUCAAGAAAAAGGAAGUUGAAUGAUCUCUUCUUUAUUGCAAAAUGCACAAAGCUUACUAACAUUCUAACUAAACUUGCUAAAUUAUCUUUAUCGAGAACAAAUUGAACACAGUAGUUGUGCGAAAACGUAUACUACCAAAUAAAGAAUGCAUUGCUAACAAGUACUCAAUUGUUGCUUUAGUACCCAAAUUUCAAUAUAUCUGAUUUCUCAGUUAUAGUUACGAGGAAUAGAGUCAAGAUUGAUUAGAUAAGGACAUGGGAUCAAAAAGAACGAAUAAUAUGUUCUGUAAAGGCACCCAACCGCAUUCAUAUCAGACAUAUAUAUUUCAUGUAAACUUUAAAAUGUUCGAUUAGAUCGCUAAAAGGAUGUAAGUAUUGGAUCAAAGUUUCUUGGAUACUCUCGGUUAUGUUACCAUGCUUUGAUAAGCCAACUGGGUUGGCACGUGCUUUUGGUGGAGUUUGUCCUAAUUUAUUGUUGGUGUUUCUAACUCUUUGGUCCCAAUGAGUUUGGGUACCAUUUUAUUUGUGUUGUUGUUCUAGGAACAAUUGGAGAUGCAUUGGAUGCUCGGCUCACUCACAAGGAAGGUGGUGUCACCAUGUUCUUAUUGGAGUCAAGCUAGGAUGCUCAAUGAACUACUAUCUAUUACGUUCAAUUGGUUUGUUCUACAUCCUUCCAAUGAUAUCUCGGUAACAAGUAUCUAUUCAUGCAUUCUUUUCUUGCAUUCAACCUUGUGUAGGUUGCAUCUUGGCAUGAUAUUCAUUCCAUCUUGUGAUACUUGUUUCCUUUCUCAAAGCAUCUCAACGAUGAUCUCAUGUUGCUAGUUGUGAUGUCUUUGAUGGUUGUAUGGUAGGAAUUCAUUUAUAUACAAUAAGACCAUAUCUAGCCAUGUGCUAUGCUUCCAAGCAAAUAUCUUAUUGGUAUAUCUAUGACUUCCUUUUGGAUAUCUUGUUCCUUCGUGUUGUAACUAUUUCGGGUGUACAUCCUUCUUUGUAGAUAUAUAUCAUCAUGAUUUCGUCUACCUAGAACCUUAUACACUUGAGAGAAAUUGCAUCUCUAGAUGAUAUACUUUCUUUCAUGUCCACCUUGUCUUUCUUAUGUUAUUUCUUUGGUGGCUCUGUGAAAGCUUUUGCCUGAGUGCGCAUCUUAUCUCGUUGCAUCUUGAUGCACUCUUGUGUGGUGAAGAUUAUUUUCCUCAUGCUUGUCCUUAUGAGGCUUUUGCCAUCUUAAUUGGUAUCCCUUGUCUUGAUGAGGCUUUCUUCUUCUAUCUUCACCAUGGGUUGUCGCAAGCUUUGUUGGUAUCUUUUUAGUGAGCUUGUGAACCCAUUUGCUAGUUGGGUGUGUGUGGGGAGAACAUGUCAUGCACCGUGUAUCUCAUUUAUCCAAGACUAUGUUGAUGCUUAAUGCUCAUCCUUAUUUUAGUCUUCUCGAGUGCUUUUCCAUGACUCUCACACAUCAUUUUGGUUGAGCAUAUUCUUAAGUUGCCUCUUUUACAUGUUGCUCAACCAUGUGUUUAGUGCAAGUGCCAGGUUUUGUUUCCUAUUUGCUACCUUGCACUUGUUGUAAGUUUCUAUUGAUUUUGGGGGAGCUAUGAUCCUAUUUUGUGCACUUUGUAUCCAAAUACAAAAAUUCUUAUGUGUGCACAAAUCAUGGGGAGCUCCUCUAGUUUUCUUUAGAACACUCCUUUACUCAUAUCGUAAUAUCCUUAUUCAUGUGGCUCAUAGGAUCUUCAGUCUAGUUGGUUCAAUUGAUAUCCUUUGUUUGCUUGCUUCAAUUGGUAUCUUUUGAUUGCUUGAUUGCUUGUUUCUCUCUUUUUAUGUCUUUGUGGCAUAGCAUUCUUUUGCUAUCUUUGUGCCUCACUAUAGUUUGUGUUCCUCCAAGUAUUUACCUUUGGAUAUGUGUGUUGCAUUCCACUCACUUGUUGAGAAAUACAUAAUUUAUGGAGGACCACAAUUUAUAUUGGCCUUCUAAGCUUUUCGCCCAUUUUGGCAAUCGAUGCCAAUGGGGGAGAAGUUUCAGAGAGUUUUGUGGAGAAGUUUAGAGAGUUGUCUCUUCUAGCUUUGGUUUGUUCCUAAGCAUACGCAUCUCCUACGCAUGCAUUAUUGGUUGUUGCAUGGCAUGGUGAUGCAUAAUUCCUUAUAUAAACUCUCUUGAAAGUGAUUGUCAUCAAUUACCAAAAUGGGGGAGAUUGAAAGGACAUGCGGUGCCCCCAUGUGUGGUUUUGGUAAUUGAUGACAUUCUCUAUGGACUAAUGGUUUCAUUGAGUUAUAUUUGAAGAGAUUGAAAGGACAUGCGGUGCCCCCAUGUGAGGUUUUGGUAAUUGAUGACAUUCUCUAUGGACUAAUGGUUGCAUUGAGUUAUAUUUGAAGGAUUUGUCCAUAGGCAUUUCUUGAAGUCCAUGUGUUGGUUUCAAGGAGUUUAUGUGUUGACCAAUGUUCUAUUAAGGAAUUAUCCAAAGAUUGGUCAUGUGAGUGUUGAGCUUAUUGCAAGCAUGUCUUGAAGAAGAAGAUUAUGUGAUCAUUCAUGUUUACCUUCAAUACAUCAUCCAAAUGAAGAGAGUUGGAAAGAUUCAAGGUUGAUCAAGACUAAGUCAAGAGUGAAUCAAGUUGAUCAACUCACAAAGCGUAAAAGAUGUACCGAGAGGGAUCAAGUGAUCCCAUGGUAUGGUAAGCAAUGUCCAUUGCACUUUGUGUACUAACCCAUGGUCUAUGUGAGAGUUCUAUGUGGGGUUAGGUACGUGUCCAUGGGCUUGCGUCAAGAGGAAGAUAUCAUACAACCCAUGGAAAGGAUGACAUCAAGUGGUGAUCGUCAUCAAGAUUGCCGUGUGCAAGUUCAGGUGGAGCAUCACGAAGAGAUCAAGUUCUUGAAGCUUGCCAUCCAUUGUGGUGUCAAUGGACUUGUGAAGAUGUGCCGAAGAGUGGCUCACCCAUAGUGGAGUAUGGGGGAGCAAUCAUCUAGUCUCCAUCGACCCAACGCAAUCAAGAAAGGUGGUCCAUCUUAAGGAGGACAAGAUCGUCAUCAUCUAGCUCAAGUGGAUCAUGUGCAAGGCAAAGGUUUGCCCUUGAUAGGCUUUCUAUUUUACCAGUCUCAUGGUGGUAGUUGGGAGACCGGGUUAGAGGAUCGUUUGCCGUACUAUCAAGGGGGGCUCUCAAGUUGGUAGCUUGAUCGUAUCGUUAGUAGAGAGCUCAAACCAUUUCAUCCUUGCAUCAUGUUUCUUGGUUCUUGUUUGUUUCUCUUUGUGAGUCUUAGAGCUUAUGUUCAUCUUGAUGACAAGCUCGAGUUCAUCGAAAACGGAGUUCACAUGUCUCUUCUUUUGCGUUUUCGGUGUUGUAGUUUUUACCGGUCUUAUUCGAGGAAGGGUUCUCACCAUUUUCUCUUGGUACUUUUCUAAUUUGCUUCUUAUUGUUAUUUCUAUCAAGAUUGUGUUAGCCCUUGUCGCUAGCUUUCCAACAAACUUGGUUUCGUCGAAUUCGGAGUCCGUUUGCAGAAGUUGUGGUAGUUUUGGUGUUCUGAAAAGGCUGUAGCGGUACUACCGCGGACAGGAGCGGAUGUUUUUUUACUACCACUCUUGGGAGCGGUACUACCGCGGCUACUUCCGCUCCGGACCAAAAACUCGUCACAAGUCUAGCGGUGGUAGGCACGAAUGUAUUUUUUUAGUACCGCUCGCAAGCAAUAGUACCGCUACCCUUAGCGGUAGUACCGCUACCCCUAGCGGUAGUACCGUGAGGACGAGCGGUAGUACCGCUCUGUGCGGGCUGUGAGCAUAACGGUUGGAUUUUUCCCCACCUAUAAAAGGGGGUCUUCUUCCCCAAUGAACAUUAUCCUUUGAGCUCGUGUUCUUCCCCCAUUGUUGACCUUCUUCGAGCUUGCUAACUCUCAAUCCCUCCAUGGAUUCUUGCUAGUUUUUUAGGGAAAAGAGAGAGGAGAUCUAGAUCCACAUUUCCACCAAUCACUUUCUCCUCUAUGUGAGGGGAACCCCUUGGAUCUAGAUCUUGGAGUUCUUGGUGUUCUCCUUCUUGUUCUUCCUCUCAUUUUCCUCCCUAGCAUUAGUUGCUUCGGUGGGAUUUGAGAGAGAAGGACUUGGGCACUCCGUGUGCCCUUGCCAUUGCAUUUGGUGCAUUGGUUUGAGUUCUCCACGGUGAUACGUGAAAGUUACAAGUUGAGAAGCUUAUUACUCUUGGGUGCUUGGUACCCUUGAGCUUGUUCCUCUUGGGUGCUUGGGCGCCCUAGACGGUUGGUGGUGUUCGGAGCUCAAUCAUUGUGGUUAAAGCUCCGGGCAAGCAUCGGGGUCUCCAAUUAGGUUGUGGAGAUCGCCCCGAGCAAUUUGACGGGUACCGGUGACCGUCCCCAAGGGUUGCCAAAGUGUACGGGUUCGGUGACCGCCCCCAAGGGUUGCCAUUUGUAUGGGUUCGGUGACCGCCCUCAAGGGUCCCUUAGUGGAAUCACGGCAUCUUGCAUUGUGCGAGGGCGUGAGGAGAUUACGGUGGCCCUAGUGGCUUCUUGGGGAGCAUUGUGCCUCCACACCGCUCCAAACGAAGAUUAGCAUCCGCAAGGGUGUGAACUUCGGGAUACAUCGUCGUCUCCGCGUGCCUCGGUUAUCUCUUACCCGAGCCCUUUACUUAUGCACUUUACUUUGUGAUAGCCAUAUUGUUUCUUGUCAUAUAUCUUGCUAUCACCUAAGUAGUUUUUCUUGCUUAGCAUAAGUUGUUGGUGCACAUAGGUGAGCCUAGUUGUUGUAGGUUUUGUGCUUGUCAAAUUAACCGCUGGGUUUAUUUCGCAUUUGUUCAAGCCUAAACCGUAAUUAUUUUAAAGCGCCUAUUCACCCCCCCUCUAGGCGACAUCCAUGAUCUUUCAGCUGAAAAAACCCAGAGGUAGGCCGCGAACACAACAAUACUAACCGGUCGGAAAAAAGGAGGGUCAAAUUGUUGGGGAACGCAGUAAUUUCAAAAAAAUUCCUACGAUCACGCAAGAUCUAUCUAGGAGAUGCAUAGGAACAAGAGGGGAGAGUGUUGUCUGCGUACCCUCGAAUACCGAAAGCGGAAGCGUUAUGACAACGCGGUUGAUGUAGUCGUACAUCUUCACGAUCCGACCGAUCCUAGCACCGAAGGUACGGCACCUCCGCGAUCUGCACAUGUUCAUCUCGGUGACGUCCCACGAACUCUAGAUCCAGCUGAGGUCGAGAGAGAGUUUCGUCAGCACGACGGCGUGGUGACGGUGAUGAUGAAGUUACCGACGCAGGGCUUCGCCUAAGCACUACGACAAUAUGACCGAGGUGUGUAACUGUGGAGGGGGGGCACCGCACACGGCUAAGAGAUUGUCUGUUGUGCGUUCUAGCGGUGCCCCCUCCCCACAUAUAUAUAUAUAUAGGUGGCAGGGGAAGGGAGCAGCAGGAGGUGUGCCCCAAGUAGGAGGAAUCCUACUUGGAGCCUAAUCCUAUUCGGCCUCCCCCCUUUCCAUGUUUUCCGGAGGGAGAAGGAAAGAGGAGGGGGAAGAGAGGGAAAGGGGAGGCCGAAUUGCCCCCUUCCUUUCUCUCCUCUCCCUUUCCUUUCCCCCACCCUAUUCGGCCAUAUAUGGGGCGCACCAGCCCACUAGGGGCUGGUUUGUCCCGCCCUAGGCCCAAUAAGGCCCAUAUCUUUGCCGGGGGUGCCCGGAACCCCUUUCCGGUGACCCGAUAUGUACCUGGUACCCCCGGAACACUUUCGGUAUCCAAAUACUAUCGUCCUAUAUAUGAAUCUUUACCUCUCGACCAUUUCGAGACUCCUCGUCAUGUCCGUGAUCUCAUCUGGGACUCCGAACAAACUUCGGUCAUCAAAUCACAUAACUCAUAAUACAAAUUGUCAUCGGCUUUAAGCCUGCGGACCCUACGGGUUCGAGAACUAUGUGGACAUGACUGAGACACAUCUCCGGUCAAUAACCAAUAGCGGAACCUGGAUGCUCAUAUUGUCUCCUACAUAUUCUACGAAGAUCUUUAUCGGUCAAACCGCAUAACAACAUACGUUGUUCCCUUUGUCAUCGGUAUGUUACUUGCCCGAGAUUUGAUCGUCGGUAUCAUGAUACCUAGUUCAAUCUCGUUACCGGCAAGUCUCUUUACUCGUUCCGUAAUAGUUCAUCCCGCAACUAACUCAUUAGUCACAUUGCUUGCAAGGCUUAUAGUGAUGAGCAUUACCGAGAGGGCCCAGAGAUACCUCUCCGAAACACGGAGUGACAUAUCCUAAUCUCGAUCUAUGCCAACCCAACAAACACCUUCGGAGACACCUGUAGAGCAUCUUUGUAAUCACCCAUUUACGUUUUGACGUUUGAUAGCACACAAGGUGUUCCUCCGGUAUUCGGGAGUUGCAUAAUCUCAUAGUCUGAGGAACAUGUAUAAGUCAUGAAGAAAGCAGUAGCAAUGAAACUGUAACGAUCAUAAUGCUAAGCUAAUGAAUGGGUCUUGUCCGUCACAUCAUUCUCCUAAUGAUGUGAUCCCGUUCAUCGAAUGACAACACAUGUCUAUGGUUAGGAAACAUAACCAUCUUUGAUAAACGAGCUAGUCAAGUAGAGGCAUACUAGGGACACUUAUGUUUUGUCUAUGUAUUCACACAUGUACUAAGUUUCCAGUUAAUACAAUUCAGGGCGUAAACAUUUAUCAUGAUAUAAGGAAAUAUAAAUAACAACUUUAUUAUUGCCUCCAGGGCAUAUUUCCUUCACAAAUUUGAAUAGACUACAAAGAUAGAUCAAAUAUAGUAGUCGGUCCAUGAUUACCUUUGGUCAUCUUUCAUCAUUGGGACAAGAUAUCAAUGACCGCCCCAUUUUAGACCUACCUGUAAUAACCAUCGAGCUGAGCCCAAAAAUAGAUAUCACUAACGCCACCAAAGAGGUCGGUCAGUGUUAAGGCUCAUCACUGACGUCUGGUCAGUGAUGAGGGGCCUGUGCUAUUCGGAUUUGUAUUAGUGGCCCGUGAGAUAUGUCAUGAUAGCUUAGAUAUGAUUUUAAUAAUGGUUUUCUUACCACAUGAGGAAACAUGGUUGCCACCUCACUCAAACAAUAUUUGCUUGCGAACUCUCGAAUUUUUCCUUGUACGUCUUGCCUUCUAAGAUUGACAACCCCACUAUUUGGCCUCAAAGGCUUCUUGUUGCAUCGGAGAACUAUCUUACCACCUUAUGUUUAUGAGGUGGGAAAUUCUCCCAAGUAUGUAAAGAAUUUAGUCAUAUUAAUGAGUUGUCUAGUCCCUCUUACAAAUGCUCAAUCACUAACAUGAUGUGAUUUGCCUGACCUUCUUAGGCUUUGAAACAAUAGCAAGCUAUCAUCUACAAAGUGGAAAUGUGAUAUACGUGGCACCUGACGACACACCUUUACAUAAUUCAUAUUCCCAUUUGUGCAAUACCCCAAGAAGAGCUUAUUGACCAUCAUCCACACACAAAAGCAUCAAAAGGAUAUUGGGUGUGCGAGAUGGUGCAAACGAACCCGAGAUGGCUUUGUUUGACUGAAUAUCUCAAAGUGUUCAUACAUGCCAUAAUAAAUUGCAUACACUUGUGAGCAAAACCUGUCUUUUGCAUUAUAAAGUACAUAAAAUUCCCAAUCCAAUCCACUAUGUCAUAGGCUUUUUAGAGGCCUAACUUGUAAGUACAAAACCCUAGAUUAGUACUUGUCUUCAUAAAAUGUUGAUAUUCAAAAGUUGUAAGAGCAUUCUCAAUGAUAAUAUACCCUAGAACUAAGGCACUUAGAUUCAGAGAAAAUGAUAUCACCAAGGAUUGUCCACAAUCUAUUCACUGGACAUUUUUGUCACAACUUUGUAGAGGGUUUAACACAAACUAUCAGACUAAAAUCUUUCAACUUCACAUGAUUGUAAAUAUUUAGGAUUAGCAAAAUAGUAGUGUGUUCAAACCCCUUGCUAGUAUGCUAACUGAAUUAAAGAAGCAUUCCACCACUGCAACUACCUCAUGUUCCAGCGCUACCCCAUUGAGUUUGUUAAAUUUUGCUAUGAAAGCUAUCCAGACUGGGUGCCUUUAAUGAACAUAUUUGGAAGAUAUUUGUAGUGAUCUCGUCUUUUGAAAGUAUUCACGAAAUCCCUCAUUAAUCUCCUCAGUAAAAGGCCGUACCCCAUAUUGAAGUUCCCACACAAGGUGGGAUAUGGGGAAAGGAAUUUCUAGAUAACAUUACCCUUGCAUAAUAAUUCUGCAAGGAGACUGGUUCGAACCCACGACCUUGAGGACACAAGUGGAGAGACUGCCACCGCGUCAUCUCCUCGGCUCAACAAGCUCAAAUAUAGGAUUCAUAUUCAAAUCCCUUGUGAAAUGUUCUUCGAAAAAAUUAGUAAACAUUGUCUCCAGUACAACCCGUUCAGACUACUACACCUAUGCUUCAUCUUUCAGUUUCAUAGCCUUACUUUCUGGCAAGCCAAACAAUGAUGUGGCGGGGAGGAGAUUGCAUUAUAGUCAACCUCUUUUAAGCAACUAAUUCUAGACAUUUGAAUUCAUUGCAUCUCUUAUUUAUAGAAUGCAUUCAUCUUAUCGGUUCCAUGACUUUCUAGUUGAUCUGCAUUCAUGGCCAUCAAAUCUACAAGCUUGGUUCUUGAUUGUUUGAGUUGCUUGACCACAUUGCCUAUUACCUCUUGCCCCACGCAACUAUGAUUUUCCCAAGUGGAGCACGCACCUCGCUCGAGAAAGGCUCAAAGAGGAAGUAGACGCAUAAAUAGAAACAUGUUAAUAAGAUUGCAAAAUAGAUACAAAACAAGUUAGUCACACAAGAUUAUUUCACUACAAUGACACACAUAACAUAAGACAUAGUUUGUGUGUUCGAUUUUGAAAUAAAUUGCUACAUCGACUUGACUUCAAUUGCGUCCAAGUUUCUACUUAGGUUUGCAUAUUUAUUAACUAGCACAAUUGUUUCAAAUUCAACAAAAAAAUCAUUAAAAUGACAGUUUGAUCUCCAUUCCUCUAGUUUCUCUCGCAUUUAUUUGUUAUCUAUAGAGAUACUAAGCUCCCAUGAUUCGAAGCGUUCUGGUGCUUCGGGGAUUGUGGGGCGGCGUGUGUUUUUUAGUUUUAUGUCUCACUCUUUUUUUACGUUGUAAUUCACGAACACUUACUAAAAUUUGUAAAUAUUAAAAACAUUUUUUAUUUUUUAUAGAGAUACUAAGCUCCCACGAUUUAAAGUGUUUUGGUCAUUCGGGGAUUGUGGAUCGUUGAGAGCCCAGUGUGUGUUGUUUAGUUUUAUUUCCCAUUCUCCUUUUAUUUUUUAUUUUUCUCUUUUUAAUUCAUGAUCACUUAUUAAAAUUUGUAAGCAUUUAUUUUUAAUUGUUUUCAGAUUAAUUAAUAUUUAUUAAAUUCAUGGACACUUUUAAAGUUCACAUCACUUUUAAAGUUUGUACACAUUUUUUAAAUUUACAAACUUAUUUAAUUUUAAAAUAUUUUUUGAAACCCAUGAAUAUGUUUAAGAUUUAUGUACAUUUUCUCAAUUUCAUGGUUUUUAAAUUUCAAAAUAUUUAAAAAAUAAAUCCUCGAACAUCUUUUAAUUAAAAUAGCCCUUUCAAAUUAAAAAAAUCCAUUUUUCUAAGAUAUAGCCGUGGUGUGGGCGCAAAAAAAAAGAGCAAGAGGAGCAGACAGCCUAGCUGAGCGAGCGAGAGUUUUGUGUGCUGAUCCAUGUGCGUGUUAUAGCAGCAAUUCAACGGUUUCAGCGUGGAAUAGGGGAUCCUAACAGGCCCAAACAACAACGGCUGGUUGACACCAAGUUCAAAACGUGUAAAGACACUACAACCACGCACCAAACGACUUCACUCUCCUCUCGGAACAAAUACUUUUUCCAACAAAAACCUGACAGAUAUAGGAACAAAAAACACCAUAACUAAAACACAAGCCAACACAGAUAAGAUCCAAACAAAACAACCGAUUAUAAUAAUUUAUUAGAUAUAAAAUAAUUAAUCCCACGAGUGAAGAACGACGCAGCGAAGUGCGCUACCUUCUAGUCUCUUUGAUAGCACAUGUAAAGUUAGUCUUUUGGAGCUUCCCUAAUCCUAGUAACUCCAUUUGAAAAUGGUGCCCCCUUGUUCUCACUCUUCACUUCUGUAUCACCACGACAUAUAUGGGAUCCCUCUAACCGGAGCCAAUUUUGCCCUAAUAACAUAUUUGAAAAUGUAAAAGAACUGUUUCACAUGGCCUUAAUAUUUUAAACUUAUUUCCCUAGUUGUGUAUUUUGUGUUUUUGCCAAAAAAUAUGCACUUUUUCCAAAAUCUUAUUUUGUUUUAAAUGAUUUUGAGUCACGUCUAUUUUUUUAAUAAACUAUGUUCCCACAGCUUUGUGGAUUAUAUUUUGUUAUUCUCGCAAUUUUUGAGUUGUUCAUUCACCGGAAUUUCUUUCAUUUUAUAUUUUAGAAGAAAAAAAACCGAUCCAUAGUUUCAAUUUGCAAAGUGCACUUUUAUCAAUUUUAGAAGGAUGAAUAUAGCCAGAAUACCAAUGUUGCUAAUUUAUUUUUAAAUACAUGAUGCUCGAUCUAACAAAGCGGCAGCACCACUCUAGUUAAUGAAAUUACACAAAAUUAGUACAACUGAGGCUAGGUAAUCAGAAAACCACCAUCAAACGCUAAAACCACGUAAAACCACCACAACUGGGGCAGGUAUGCGACACGUAACACUUUCGCGCUUUCGCCUCCUGGUUGCGUAAUCGAAAGGUCAUCAUCCUCAAGUCUUUUGCUUUUUUUCUGAGCGGUCCUUAAGUCUUUUGCUAAACGAAAGCACCGAGCGGUGGUUGCCGCGCGGGCUCCGAGAUACUGUAACUAGCAAGCAUCCAGAGUAGCUGCAUUGACUUUACUCCAAUUCUAUCCACAAGUGGCUACACAAGCUUGCAGAGUUGCCGUUUGUUAAUCACUGCAGCAGGUGGCUCUCCGGCUAGAUUCAGAUCUCCACUAUUAUAAGCACCUAAUAAUCACGCAUUAUUCGUUCUAAUCCGAGUGCGUUAGCCGCUUCCGGCUGCUGGUGGCCCCGAAAACUGCAUUUGAAAACCGGGACCCCACAGUCAGCGUCCCAUCGCCCGAACGCACCCGUAUGGAACAAAUCGCGGCACCGGCUCCAUUAAUCCAGUGAUGAUCACCUCUUCAGCGAGGCAUAUUCGGCUUCCCACCCCGCAUUUCGCCAAGCCCAAGCGCCACCGCCGCUCAGGCCCAGCCCGCAUGGACCCCACCGACCAGUCGCCGGAGGAGGUGUACUCCGUGUGGGCCCUCCCGCCGGAGCCCGUCCGCGACCGCCUCCGCGGCCUCAUGGCCGGCCUCCGCGCCGCGCACGGCGGCCCGCCCUUCGAGCCGCACGCCACCGUCGUCGGCGCCGUGCGCAUGCGCCGCCCCGCCGCAAUCCAGGCCCUCCGCGCCGCCGCUGCGGCCGCCGACGUCGCCCCCUACACCGCCCGCGUCACCGGCGUCGCCCGCGGCGACUUCUUCUACCAGUGCGUCUACCUCCUCCUCGAGCCCACCCCCGAGGUCAGCCCCCUAGCUUUAAUCCCUCCACUGUUCCUUCCCCAAGCGCUAAUCGAGAGGUCAAUGCGUUCUGAGAGGUGUGGUUUGCACAACGUUUCGAUUAUUUGCUCUGCACUUCUGCUUAUGCCAAGUUAUCUGAAUGUUGCAGGUGAUCCACACAAGCGACCACUUCUGCGCCCACUUCGGGUUUCAGAGAUCAACCCGUGAGUGCAGUGCCAGACUACAUGUACUUUGAUCCUGAAACAUUGACAAGUUGAUGACAAUCGAUUCAUGUUUUUUUACACGAUUGCAGCAUAUAUGCCACAUGUAAGCCUCUUGUAUGGGGAUCUAACAGACGAAGAGAAGGAAGCAGCAAGGAAGAAAGUAGAGGAAAUGGACAGUGAAAUUUCUGGACUGCAGUUCGAGAUCUCCGAGCUCGCACUUUAUCGAACCGACACCGAGGAUAAAAGCUUGGAGUCCUGGGAACUGGUGGAGGUAUGCCACCUUGGGAAGAAGUGAUCGGUUCCUCCCGAUGAUAUGCUUCUGCUGUAAGUUGUGACUGCUCUUGGGGUCUUGUAAUAUUAUGUUUUCACCUUUAAGUGUUUGAUGUAAUGAUGUGAAUGUCUAGCACCCCUGUUGCUUUGAAUAAGGAAUAAUGUGAACAUUGGACCUACCUUGGGGCUUACCUUGCCACUUGUGGGUUUUAAUACAAAGUUGACCAAUAUUGCCUUUCGUCUAAAAUAUAUCUUGGGAUUUCUUUCAAAAAUAACUUUGAUGAUUUACAGUGUGUUGAUUUAUUCAAUAGAACUUGUUGAAAUGCAAAGCAGGUGCUCAGAACUAUAAACUAGUUGAGCUUAACUAACAUUGUAAAAGCCUGAGUUUAUCUUUUGUAUUCCCUCAAGAAUACUUUCCAUGAUCAGAUGAUUAACUAAUGACUGAGAUAUAUCCCAUCAAGCUCAUCAUAGCUGAAGACGCAUAUAAUGCUGCAUAUUUAGGUGACACAAGACAUUCUAUGUACUGCACAUUAUUUGUGAUGCAGCACUACAGUACCGCAUACAAUGGUCAGUACUCUGUACUAUCUAGUCCCUACUCCCCUUGAGAACUUUCUGGCCUAAACCUUCUUCCGCCUGAUCCACCUUCCCUUUGACAGUUGAAAUAUGAGGCAGCCACAAUGUUGAGGUGGUGCUGUCGUGCAAAGUUCCUGCAGCUGAAGUUGUGUCGCACAUCUGGUGCAAAAACUGUACCCCUGCCUAGUUGCUGGAACAGCACAAAUACCAUCCGGUGGAUACCAGAUCUUGGUUCUGGCCUUUCAUAAACUAAAAGCUCUUGGCCUGCAAGAGCACCAGUUAAGAAUUUAAAGAGUAAUUCAACUUGGUGGAAACAUACCAAUCUAGUCAUUUAUCUGCAACGUAGUCUACUUUGUUUGUUCUAGGUAAUUCUAAUAUAAUCUUCAUGUAUAGGGGUAACCUUUGUUCUGCUGUAUAUGUUAGUUGCUAGCACAAUAUAUCAUAAAAGUCUUCAAAACCAGUAUAAGAUUGAAUGAUAUUAAUUGAUUGCAUGGAUUUUGUGUUUGUACAUGUGGAAAUAAAGUAUAAAUAGUAGAUUGAAAAAGGAAAUUCUUAAGUAUACCACUGUUUUAAGAGUUCUUGCUUCUUUAGGCUGUACAGUGGCCUUGUCUUAAUGUUUUCCAUUUCAUUUGCAAAACAUACUAAUGUCAUUUUACGCUGUUUAUUGUUAUUCUUUGUCAUGGUUCAAGAUGUCUUGGUGUUAACGAUGGGCUAUAUUGGAAUUAACUUGUAUCGAGUCGUUUGAGGGAAAGAACUUAACAUGGCCUGAUUUCUGCGUCCACAAAAUUCAGCUAAAACAAAAAAUCACAUUGAACAAAUUGUUAUGCAUGGCAUCAUACCGAAGCUGGCACCAGUUGUUCCAGGGAUGUCUGACACCAUCCUACACAGGAGUGGAGAUAUAUCAUAAUUAGAGCAAAUUAAGUAUGGAACAUACAUCUAAAGUUUCAUGGCAGAAAACAGAUGGGUCGAGGGUUUGGAAUCGUAUUGGUGAGAAUAAGAACAUGUUUGCAUUUGAUUUACCAGUGCAAGUACUCCCUUAGUGAUGGGUGACUUGGGCUUGGGGCGUCUGGAUCCACCAAUAUCUUUUGAAGUCAAAGACAAACUCAAACCAGUUAACAUAUGAUUCGUUUGAGUUUGCUAGGAGUAAAUUAAUCAUCUAUGAGACCUUUUCCUUCUAUGGAAUUCCUUCACAAUUAUACUAACAACCCACGUAAAAGAGUGAAAUAACCAAAGUAUUUGCAUAUAUUGUCCACUACUAGAGUUAGAAGCUUACCAGGGUGUAGAGAACUCUCAUGUCACUGCCACCGAUAUCAACUCGCGGCUUGCUUACAAUUGCAGAUGGUCUUAGCUCAGCACCUGCCAGAACUAGCCUGUUGUUGUAGGCUAUCCUGAGUGGAACAGUUGAUGUAAAUGGAUCAAGCACAUCUUGUAUAACAUGCACAACCAAUGGAUCCGCUGCCGACAUAUACUAGAGGAGGACUACCAAUUAACAGCCUUAGCCUUGUCUGUUAUUGUGAUAACCUAGCUCUCUACAGACCUGAAACCAGUUGUGUCUAUGCAGGAACUACUUGCACGAACUACUUGUAUUGCGCGAUGAGGGUUGUCUUAUUCACCUUUCAAAAGUUUUGAUACUAGCGUCAUGUCGUGCGUCACCUGUAUACUCGUUACAUCAUUGAUAUUUGUCGAUUAGAUCCUGAACUUUAUGGAGUAGUCGGGCCGUAGAUAUUUCGACAUGCAUGCUUAAGCCAUCCGAUUAUUACCAUGGCUGUGGUAUACUGGAACAAACUUGUGAAUUGUGGGCGAUAGUUAGCGCAUUCCUUCGGUCACAACCUCUUUGGAGAUAAUAGGUACCAUAUUUCUGAACCUAACAAUGUAGUGACGCUGAACAUGUAGAUGUACUUAACGUUCUUAGGUUUUUCAUUUCAACUGCAUGCUUAGUGGUAUUAAGUACUUCCCCUUGUACUUUUUUGAGAUAUCUGCUGAUAUUGUUUUAUUGUUGGCAUGUAAUGCAUUUGCAUAGCAUUAAAAGAUUUGUUUCCCUUCUGAAAACUCAUACUCCUUAUAGCCUAGGGUCAUUAUUUUAUUCAAAUUCAGGGAUUACAUAAAAUGGGCUAGCAGGAAUGGAACACAUAUGCUUGCAACCCACUUAAUUGCACUCAGGGCAGGAGCCUGGUGACAUUACUGUUGUUUCCAAAGUGAACUUUUUCUACUGUGACCUGCCAAGUUGCAGCGAUACUCUAUGUUGGAACAGAGCCAUCACUCUUCUGUUUAUCACCGAAAAAGUGAGCUGCAUGCAUCUUCUUGAAGCCAUUGUUAUGUUCUGUGCAACUUUUAGCAAAGAUCUAAGGUAGUUUGUCUAGAGUAGCACUAGCUUAAUCAUUGCAUCUCUUCACUUUGUUGCUGAUGUUGCUUAUUUAAGGUAGUUUGCUUUUGUUGUUGGCUUUAUUUUUAACCGUGCCUUAAAAAUAGUUAUCCAGCGCAGCAGGCCAUCAUGUAUUGUAGUAUUUCUUUUGCCAGUUUUCUACAAUACAAUUCUGUUAUAUCUUUUUCUAGUAGAACCAUUCAGUUUUAUUCGAUAGGCUCGCCUAUCCAUACAUAAGGAUGCAAGUUUGGGCUGAUUGGGCCAACCCAACAACUCAUCUAGCUAUUUGCUAUGUGCACAAAGUAAACUAUUGGUUAGGUACCUGCAGAAGUAUCAGCUAAGUAGAAGUAUACCAUUAGUUAGAUAAAACAGCCCGCGGGUUCGUCCACUUGCAUCCCUACAGGACUGUAGCACAAUUUCUGAACUACCUGCGGGUAUUAUUUAUAUGGCAUAUGGAAAGUUUUGUAGAAAAUUUACAAAGUUGACUGUUAUGUGUAUUCAUUUGAUGAUAAGGAUUCUAUUUACUGCCCUGCGAUAGCAAAGUAGAAUCCACUUACUGCUCUGCGAUAACAAAAUAUAAUCCACUUGUUCCUUCUUCACAUGGGUGGGGGUGGGGGUAAAUAUGAAUAUAUACCUUGUUUACCUCAGGCUGUCCUCCAUAUCACCUAGUGACACCGAAGAGACAUCACGUUACAUGCUAGAAAAACAUAUAGGGCUUCUUUGAUUCAAAGGAAUUUUAUAGGCUCUUUGGGGGAUUUUCUUCUGUAGGAAAAAAAUCUACAAUUUUUGCUUGAUUCGCAGGAUUGAAAUCCUUAGGAAUUUUUCUUAGGUUUCAUUUGCAUUCUAUUUGUCUUUCCUGUGUUUUCAAACAUUCUUUGAUCAGAAUUCCCAUAGUUUUCCUAUCCUAUAGGAUUCAAGAGGACAUGCCACUUAAAUCAUAGGUUUUUUAUAUUCCCACGUUUCUGAGGCCCCACAAGCAGGCUGACAUAUACCCAUUGUACUUGUAUAUGCCCUUGUGGUUUUAGUGGUUCACUAUACAGGCAAAAUAUCUGGUUUGAUACUCCCAUGCUCAGAGCAAAGAAGAUUUGUGCUCCUUACAUAUCCUCGGUGACUGAAACAUAAAAGGAGAAGCACGCAUCUCUUUUGUCAAGAUAACAAUGUUCCCUUCCCAGAAGGCAUAAGAUUGAAUAGGAAAAUGCUUUGAAUAUUCCUUUGAUCUUUUUGACAAUAUUCACCUUUUAGUGCGAAGCUAGCUGUGUUACGUUGUACAUUUUGCUAGUCCAACUUUGAUCCUAUACUUGUUUAGCGAAUAGAGAAAAAUCAGAUGGAUAUGUGACCAUCUUGAAAUUAUGUAAGUAAUAUUAUUUUUGUUGCUUAUGUUGAAUUGUGUGUGACCAGACGGAUCUGUGUCUGGAUUGCAAAUUAGGUACAUUGUCACAUGUGUCUCAAUUUUCCAUGGAGAUCAGGGGGCAUUCGAUGUGGGUAUGGUUGCAUGACAUGGAAAAACAAUCCACUCUGACGCUUGAUUUACCAGAUGAACCACUUGGGAUAGAUUUGUUCUCCAAGUUGGAGGCCGUAUUGCUACUUCCUGAUUGAACUGGCGGCUCUGUGCUUUCCUGGUGGAAGAGAUCCAGAGAUUGAACUGUUUUGGCGGCCCUCUGUGCCGUCGUGAAGCACGCUCUUUAGGUCUUUCAGGUAGAAAAACUCCUAGCUUAGGCUUUACUUUGAGGUCUGCACGUAAAGGAUGCUGGUACUUUCUGUUGUUCCGUUAUCUCAAUGAUAGUGGAAUCCGGCCAUCGUGGUCGUUUGACAAAAAGAGAAAAAAAUGAAUGCCCUUUAUCAGAAUGAUCAUCAGUUUCUCCCGAUCGAUGGAGCCUCAAAACUGAAGAUGAUACUUGCAGCGCACUCUGUUUUCAGAUGUAUAAUAUGUGUGUUUUUGUUUGACACUCGGCCUUUCCUUUUUUUGUGUAUCUUUGGCUGGACUAAGCCGGUGAUGAAAUCCUUUGGGGACCUUUUUGAUUCAAAGGAUUUUCAUAGGAUUAUGAAGGGUUAGAGUAUUUAGGAAUUUUCUUUUAUGUUGGUCGUUUGAUUUGUAGGAUUGAACCACACAGAAUUUUUUCCUAAAUAUUCGUUUGUACUGCAUUUCAUAGAAAAUUUAGCGUCCACUCAAGCUUUUGGAAAGAAUACUUUAUUUUAGUGUGAGACGAUCAAACAAACCAAAGUCAUAACGGAUUGAAACGGACAUGACAUAGGAAUCCUAUGUUUAUGUUUUGACAUUACUGCGAAGCAAAGAGGCCCUUGAUCCGUGAAGUUGGAAGGAACCUGUGUUAAGUGUGAUUGGUCAUUUUCCUUGUGCAUGCCAGCCAGCAUAGGACGGUUGCUGGUGCAUGCGUGAACUACUUGUAUUGCGCGACGGGGGGUGUCUUAUUCACCUUUCAAAAGUUUUGAUACUAGCCUCAUUUCAUGUGUCACCUGUAUACACGUAACAUCCUUUAUAUUUAUCGAUUUGGUCCUGAACUUUAUGGAAUAGUCAAGCUAUAGAUAUGUUGGCAUGCAUGUUUAAGCCAUCUGAUUAUUAGCAUUGCUGCAGAAUACUGAGCAAGCUUCUGAACUGUGGGCGAUUUUAGCGCAUUCCUUUGGUUGCAACCUCUUUGGACAUAAUCCAUAUAAUUCUGGACCUAACAUUGUAGUGGUGCUGAACAUCUAGGUGUACUUAAUGUGUUUACGCUCUUCAUUCCAACUGCACAUUUAGUCAUACUAAGUGUACUUUUUUUUCCUUGGUACUUUUUUGAGAUAUCUUCUGAUAUUGUUUUGUUGUUGGCUUGUAAUGCACAACAGAUUUUUCCCAUCUGUAAACUCAUUUUCCUUAUAUCUUAGGGUCAUUAUUCCAUUCUAAUUCAGGGAUUACAGAAAUGGACUGGUAGGAACAGGAAACAUAUGCUUGCAACCCACUUAAUUGCCCUCAGGGGAUAGAGCCUUGUCACGGUAAUAUUGUUUACAGGGUGAAUUGUUUCUGCUGGAUCCUGCCAAGUUGCAGCGAUACUCUAUAUUGGAGCAGGUCCACCACUCUUUUGAUAUUGCCGAAAAGGUGAGCUGCAUGCAUCUUCUUGAAGCCUUUAUUAUGUUCUGUGCAAGUUUUAGCAAAGAUCUAAGGUAGUUUAUCUAGAUUAGCUUAAUCUUGUUUCCUCUUCACUGUGUUACUGCUAUUAUUUAACAUAUUCCAACAAUCUUUGCUCUUGUGUUGGUUUGAUUUUUAACCUUGCCUUAAAAAUAGUUAUGCGGCACUGCAGGCUAUGCCCAAACUUUAGUGUUUUAGUAUUUUCGGCCAGUUUUCUAUAAGGAUGAAAACUUGAGCUGAUUGGGCCAACCCAACAACCCAUUCAGUUAUUUGCUACCUGCACAGAGUAAACUAUCAGUUGAGUAGAAGUAUAUUAGUUAGAUAAAACAGGUCGUGUGUCCUUACGCACAAUGCCUAAACUACCUCCGAAUAUCAUUGAUAUUGCAUAUGAAAAGUUUCGUAGAAAGUUGACAAAGUUGACUGCUACGUGUAUUCACGUGAUGAUGAGGAUUCUAUUUACUGCUCUGCGAUAGCAAAGUCGAAUCCAGUUCGUUCUUCACGUGGGGGGUAAAAUAUGCAUAUAUACCUUCUUUACUUCAGGUUGUCCUUCAUAUCACCUAGAGACACCAGAUACACUGAUAAGUGUCAUCUGUAGUACUUAAUGAUGUCUCUUUCACAGUGAUCGUCCCUUGGCUAAGUGAAAGCUAUACCCUCCAUGCUAGAAAAACGUCUAGGAGACAAUCAGGCUGACAUAGGACCAUUGUGGUUGUACAUGUCCUCGUGGCUUUAGUGGUUUCCUAUACUGGAAAAAUAUCUGGUUUGGUCAUCUGAUGCUCAGACCAAAAGGGCUGUGCUCCUUACAUAUCCUCGGUGACUGAAGCACAAAAAGGAGAAUCAUCUCUUUUUGUCAAGAUAACAAUGUUCCCCAGAAGGCAUAAGAUUGAAUAAUUUUUUUUGAAUAUUCUCUUCCAUCCUUUUAGUAUCUUUAUUGAGAGGGCAAUAUUCAGCUCUCAGUGUGAAGCUAGCUGUGUUAAGUUGUACAUUUUUCUAGUCCAACCUUGACCCUUUACUUGUUUAGUGAGGGGGGAAAAGCUAUGCGUCUGCAACCAUCUCUAAAUUACAUAAGUUAUGCCAUUUUUUUACUUAUGUCAGUUGAGGGUGGCUAUAAGGUUUGAAAAUUAGGUUCCUAUAUACUAUAUACUCCCUCCGUUUCUAAAUAUAAGUGUUUUUAGAGAUUUCAACAUGAACUCAUACGGAGUUUAGAGUAUAGAUUCACUCUUUUUGCUCCGUAUGUACCCCAUAUUGAAAUCUCUAAAAGGACUUAUAUUUAGAAACGGAGGGAGUAGAUCAUUGCUAUAUGCGUGUAAUGUUUCGUGGAGAUUGGGGCAUUCGAUGUGGGCAUCGUUACAUGCAUGGCAUGGAUGAGCAAUCUACCCUGGCGCUUGGUGUACUUGAUGAAUCACUUGGGAUAGAUCUGUUGUGCAACUUGGGUGCCCUACUUGAUUGCUAGUUCCAGAUUGAACUGCCACCAAUUUGCAUUCCUUGUGGUCCUGUGCCUUUCCUGGUGAUACAGAUCCAGACAUGGUCUGUUUUGGCACCUUUGUGCGGUCCUGAAGUUUAAAGUCUGUUUUGUAGGUCGAGCAGGGGAAGCAGUAAGCGUGCCCUGGAAAGCUCCUCCUCCUAGCUUAGGCUUUACUUUCUUUUUUUUGCGGGGAAGCUUAGGCUUUACUUUCAGUUUGGCACGUAAAGGAUGCUGGUAUUUUCCGUCCUCUCAAUGGUAGAGGAAUCCGGCCGUCGCCGUCGUUUGACGAAAAGAGAAAAAAUAUGGAUGCCCUAUAUCAGAAUGAUCAUCAGUUUCUCGCGAUUGAUGGGGCCUCAAAACUGAAGAUGAUCCUUCCAGCGCACUCUGUUUUCAGAUGUAUAAUAUGCAUGUUUUCUUUCCUCUUUUGUUUUGUGUAUCUUUGGCUACAUUUCAUAGAAAAUUUAGCAUCUACUCGAAGCUCCUGAAAAUUAUACCCCUACCUUUUUUUUUACUGUGAGACGAUCAAACAAACCAAAGUCUUGAUAUAUUCAAAUGGACAUGCCAUUGCAACUCAAUGUUUAUGUUUUGACAUUACUGCGAAUCAAAGAAGCCCUUGCUUGAUCUGUGAAGUUGAAAGGAACCUGUGUGAUGUGUGAUUGAUCGUUUUCCUUAUGGAUGGCAGCCACAGAAGGGGGUAUCGGAGGGGUGCUGGUGCAUUAUUGGUUGUUCUCCCCUAUCCACGCACGUACAUGGAAAUGGAAUAAAGGCGGCGUCGGGGAUUCAUCUAGUAAGUCCCCGUCCCCUGAUUCUUGACGCGGAUACGACGACGUUGAGCCGCUGCCACUCGCCGGAUGGUCGGCGGAGGGGGCGUGCUGACGGCGACGCCCAGACUUUGACAGCUUUGUCUCCUCCCCUCUUCCUUUUUUUUAUGAUGAUCAGUAGAGUAGAGUUUAUUUUUUGAAACAAAUCAGUAUUUUUUUUCGAGAAUUUGAAACAAAUCAGUAGAGUAGAUAAAUAUCUCCAUUUUCUCCUGCGUGCCGAGCAACCAAUAAACAGUCCAGGAUCGGGUGGGCUGUUGGAGGCCCCCUGUGUGUGGGCCGUGGCAAUGCUAGUAGUGAGUGUCUGGGCUUAGCCCAGCGUAAGUCGCACCGUGGGCCUUGCUGAAAAUAUUACUCGGGCCAUCUUGUAAAUUUCGCACUACGUCCCUAGAAAAUGUGGUCCUGUAAUGUUGGGACUUGAUAGUUCUGUCUGUAUCCUACAAUAAAGAUUAUGCGAAGAUUUUUGUUUGUGAAAAGUAUCCAGAUUUAUUGUAAAAGUUCACCAAGUGUAGAACACCUACCCCUAUUAACAUUGUGAUCCUUGGAUCACCGAGCUACCACUAUCGUCGAAAGAACGAGCCGUUGCCCCUACCGGAGCUGGCUGACCAUGUUGAUGACACCCGAGAAGUCCUUGUGCACGUGCAAGGACCAACGCUCUAGAGCAGUAGUCCUCGUCGUUGAACCCUUGAAUCGAUCCAAAGCACUUGAUAUCAAAUCUCGCCAUCGCACAUGCACGACAAAAAAGUCUAACCUCGUCGCCCUAAGGGGACAACAAGAAUCUAUAUCGGAGCUUCGUCAAUUCCAUCUAGACAAACAAACUCAAGGAGGUUUGUAGCCUGGAAGACCAACUUGAAGAAGAAGUGUCACCAUCCGCCUAAGCACCCGCACCUGCGAGGAGUAAAAAACCCCAGCAUAAACUAUUAGCCGGAGUCGGCACUGCGAGAUUCCACUCCCUGCCACCGGAUGCCAGGGCGGCAUGCAUAGAGGAGGCGAAUUAACGGGCUCAUCGACCAAGCCCGGAGGGGAUGAGUUUGCCCUAACCGCCCAAGGGGAGGGAAGGACGCACUUAUGGUAUGGCAUCUAAACAUAACUAAGCCAGGUUUUUACUCUCAUGUUAGUAAGCAUCAAAAUGCCGCUCAAUUUCUCUCACAUCUCCCCGCAAAAAGGAAAAAAAACGCACAUCUAGCGCCUCUUAGAGAUUCAGAUGUUCUUAAGUCUGUAUAUCAUUGUCCACCGGUGUAGGCGGGACAAAAAAAGGCGCAUCUUGCUCGACUAAAUGAGGGGUGGUGCGUCAGUCGACAGAGAUUUUCUUAUGUUUAGGUUGAUGAUGAUACUACUACCCCAGCGCGUGAACCUGGACGAGGCCACAUCUGACAGUUUCAGGGCGUCGACUUGGCCAUAGGAAAAUCUCGAAUGCUUCAGACUUAGCAAGACAGAAGAAUAAUUCCGCUUUCGAUAAAUGAGUUUGCAUAAUACUACUACUACAAGGACACAUCAGACGCUACUAUCGCAGAAGCAACGUGUGCAGUGCGGAUCUCAAAGUAGUGUCCCUGCCUGCACUCAACGUGUGGACCAGCAGAAGGAACGAAGCUUCUUCAUCCGAGGCCGCCGACGAACACCAGCACUUGUCUGUCCCCCCACACCCUCUUUGUCUAUCUAAUCCGAUCCAUAAUGUGCGCCACGGGUAGGGCACAGGACAAGGCGCGUGCAUGAUUAACUCCGCUCCCGUACAUUGCCGCGUAAUCCAAGCCCAUGAUCAGCAUCGCGUGCCCAAAUCAGUGCGGACAUCUGGCUCUGACCGGAACAUGACGACCAGCUUAGCUAGCUAGAUUUCCCUUUGGAGAGGGAGCCACUAUUGGCCGGGCCUGGAGAGGCAGGAGCUGUCUGCUGACAGAGUGCCACACUGUCACUCACCUUCCUUGCAAUUUCCCUUUGGAGAGGACGCCAAAAGCUUAGCUUGCACCAGGAAGCUCACACUAGCUGUUAUAGUACUCCCUCCGUCCCAUAAUAUAAGAGCAUUUUUAACACUACACUAGUGUAAAAAACGUUCUUAUAUUAUGGGACGGAGGGAGUAGUUAAUUAACCCUUGCCCGCAGCCAAAAGACUAGUCUUAGCCAGUGCAGUCCCAGCUACGCUUGGUUUGUGAUAGUAUUAUUAUUGGACUGUAGAUAAGGUAAUCGAGGUGGUUAUGAAUUGUAUUACUGGUAGUUUGUACAUAUAUAUGUUAUGUGAAUACCCUCGAAAAAAGAUAUAUGUGAACCAACCCGAUCUUUUAAAGCUGUCAAAGUUCUCCUGCUUGAUCCCGUGUUCUACAAGUGAAAGUUCUUGUUUGAUGUGCAGUUCAUUUCUGAACUUGCACCGUCCUUGUCCGUCCGUUGCAGACACCAGAAUGCGCGCAAGCUAUUCGGCCGCUUGACGCGACGAGAAUCGCCGCGAACGCAUUGACUAAUUGCGAUCUAAACUACGCGUCAAGCGAUCGAUCUCGCAAUCCACGAACUUGGAGCGCAAAGCACCAAAAGGUUUACGUUUUCUUUCUCGUCGUCGGCCCCAUAGAAAAAAACCCGCAGCGCAGUUUAGUGUUCCUCCAUGUUCCCCGAGGAGGACUUGACCAAUUCCAGGCGUUACAGAUGACUGGACUGGGCAGAUGCAGCUAGCCAUUUCACAUAGUGAUUGCCCACCAACUAACUCAUUUACAGUGAGGAAAAAAAUCGACGCGACACGACGCGAGAGAGGUGAAUGCUGAUAGCUUCCCUACUCUAAUGUAAUGUGUGCCUUCUUCGGGCACGCCGCUGUCCAGCGAACGAGCGAGAAAAAUUCAGAGUACAUCUUCUGGUUUGAUCUUUUCAGGAAAGAAAAUGAGAGUUUGAUGCGAUCUUUGUGGGCGGUGCUCAGUUGACUCUGGAUUAAUUUGGCCAGUUCAAUAUGCGGACCCCUACGUUUCAGUUUGGAUACUUGAAUGUUAUCUUCGCAAUAUACAUGUACUUAGUUGACUUGUGCAUUGCUUAUAUACCAAAUCAAGUACAGACAUGUACAUCGCACCCGACUCAUCGCCCAAGUCUUGGAUACGACCAUAUCAAAUUAGCACAUUAGCAAUUUGCGGUAUUUCUGAUACUCUUAUGCACAGAAUGACAGAAAUAAUAGUAUUUCAGUAGUGGUGCUAACUUGACCUUGCAGUCCAGUUAUAGUAGAGUCUGUCGGUCCGAGACGCCUAAUAUGACACCAAACUGAGGCAGCUAGCUGGUGAACACACACGCACACGCACACACAUGUUUGGUACCAUCUCCUUGGCAAAACAUGGUGAUUCCUCGGUCUGAUACAAGCCAAGCUGCCUGCCAACCAACCCAUGGCAUGUUGCCCCAAGUCAAGGCAGUUGGCGACGUACGUACGUCCUCCUUGUGCCAGAGGCAGCAUCCAAGUUAAGUUCCAAACUGUGCAUGUCACCGUCUAUCUUCUGCUCAUCCUAAGAGGAUUCCUCUCUCCCGCCCUUAUCUUCGGUCCUGACGUGGGUCUAUGGCUGUUGUGCGUGCGUGCGUGCAGCCUUUGCUGACCUUUCUUUCAGUUGAUCGGUUCAGCAUUGUGCUCCACAAGGGUGGUAGAACUUGUCCGGUUGUUGUUAAAUUACCGGGCACGUCGCCCUAGCUAGCUCAAGCUACCGCGCUCACUGUCCUCGGAACCAUUCUCGAGUGACCUGAGAUGCUUAAUUAUGGUCGUCGAUGUCGCUCUCUUUUGGGAGGAAAAUGAGGCAGCGGCCGGCCAAUUGCCGCGGUCAUUUCCUUGGGGUCGAUCAGGUUCACUUGGGUGUGGGACAGCAGCAGCAACAACUGCGGUACUAUUAUCCAACAGCAACUGGCACCCAAAGGGUCAACAGAUGAUGGAUGCAGAUCAAAGAAAGAGAGGGUACGCUACGCUAGCUACGCACGUAACGCAGCUUCCUUGAGCUCUACGAUUGAGUCAGAUGGAUAUCAAGACCAACACAUUUGACACACCAUGAUCGAUUAAUCUCGAUCGCUUGGCCUUCAAAUUCCUUUAAGGGUGUGGCUAGAUCUCAGCCGACUGAGACAGACUUAACGAAGUCUCAAUCGAGUGACACAAUACAUAUAAAUAAAAAUAAAAAAUAAAAAAAUGCACAGAUCUCAAUAUAAGAUCUCACGAGCAUAGCAUCGACUGAAACUUCGUUAAGUCUCGGUUGACAGAGACUUACCAAUCCCGUCGGUUUAAUUACGAGGUCAGUGUCUGUGGAUGCUUCCCCCGCAAAAAAAAGAAAAAAAAAAGUGUCUGUGGAUGCUUCGUGAACGGGCGAGCGGUCGAAGCGACGAGGCUGGAACGGUGCAAAUUAAGGCGCUGAUUAGUCGUAUCUCACAUGGGGCCCGCCCGGUCCGGUCCGGGGACGAUGAUGGAUGGACGGAGCCGCACGGAGAUCGCGGGAUUAAUCAGCGCGCGCCCAAGUCAAACCGGAGCAGGUGGCAGUGCACGGCCGGGAUUAAACUCGGCACUGCUCACGGUUCAUUACUGCCAUGAGAUCUUCGUCACAAAGAAUUGUGUACUCUCUUCUUCCUCGCGUCGGUUCUACUACUCCGGACAGUAGGUAGCUGCCGGCCGGCGGGUCCAAAGCGGUCAACAAGGCGGGCCCACCACCUUGCCAUUUGGUCAUGGUGGUCGUAGUUAGUAGUGGGACGCUCUCUCUGUCCUGUCCUGUCCCUAACUUUGCUUUCUCCAUUGCUACACUUCUACUGCUACUUUGCUUGCUUUUCGUUGUUUUCUCCUCGUAAAGUCGGGGGAGGGGGCAUGUGCCCAUACGUACUGACCUGUUGUGCACGCACCACCGAGGCCAAGAGCGGAGCUGCUUUGGGGAAAAGCAAAGGUGCACCGAUGAUGGAUGGGUUGGACUGCCGGCCGGCCGGCCAUCCGCCGCCGGCGCACCACCACCCGCUGUCCCGAACGGUCAACUGGACAGUCUGACUCGAACCAUCCUUCCUUGUGCUGCUGGCUGGAUGCAUGACAACGACGUCUCCUUUGACCCGAACCAGAUGCCAGAUCACUAGCAGCAGCAGGGAACGCUUCAAGGCACAUAAAUGUAAAAGAAGAAUUCAAAGUUGCAAUAAUUCUACGACUAGAAGUCACGGCUCGAUGUGACAUGACGGCUUGUUCCUGUGUUCCUUCGAUCGACACUGCAAUCUCUCUGAAUCUACAGGAACAAGUACAGGGGGGGCACUGCCCCCCCUCUGAUUCUACGCCAUUGAAGAAGAUACUCUGACUCUUUCGGCCUUGUCAGGGAAUUUAAUCACAGACACUGAGGAGAAUUCUGGAAGAAUUCCUUUGUUCCAUCUUGUGUCAGGAUGGAUGCUUAGAUAGAUUUGGGAAGAAUUCUGAAUGCUGCAACCAUUAUUAGGACUGUAGAUGGUUCGUAUCUUAGCGGAAAUUAAGCUUUGGUAGCGCAACUUAAAAGACGAGAGAUCCCGGGCCAGUGAUGUGCAUGCCGUUUCCAUGAAUGGGAAGAAAGAAAGGAAUGGGAAAUAUUUUCCGGAAAUUAACUGCAUGAUGAAACGGACAGAGUUAAUUCUGAGAGUAAAUUAGGCACAAUUAGCACCGAUCCACCAAGAACAGAACAGAAGAGGGCAGGGGAGGAGCUCAAAGAGUGUGAUCCUUUCCGUUCCGUUCCUUCGCGAGCCGUCGCUCAACCAAGCGAGCAAAAAUUACAACAUACUAGCACCGAGGACGAGCUACUCCGGACAAUUGAUUAAUAGUACGCCGCCGUCGCAUGCUCUACGCGGCGGAGCGGAUCGGCUCAC